UUUGGUUGAAAACAUGGUGCAAUGGGAUGUUGUAUCUAUUACGCAAAUUGGUUGUACCAAAAAUUAUUGUGAGUACUCAGAUUUUGUCAUAAGUAAUCAGAUCAAGGUUUUUGAUAUGGUUGAAUCAUGUAGGUGGCAAGUUGCUUGUUUUGAGCUUCCAAUGGUGAUGGUGGCUGGCGUUGGUAAGCUGGCCAGAGACUUCUUUCAAGUUAGUUCAUCCAUGAAUUGACAUUGUAUCCAUUGAUUUAAUUCAUGAUUGUUUGUAAGAAAAAUUUUCAUGUUCGAUGUGUUGGUAAUUAUACUUCUACUGAGAAGUUUAUAUAAUAUUAUUUGGUAGCUUACAAGUUUUGUUUUUUGUCUGAUUCUGGUAGUGUUUUGUCAGUUAUUGGGUAGCAUGAUGUUGGUUGGGGGUGACUAUUUGUGUCUCGGAUUUGUAUGUCUUAGGUUUUUCUCUUGAACAGGAGUCUUUGACUAGGCAUAUCUUUGAUGAGGCAUAUCUGCCAUGUUCAUGUAGUUUUGUUUGCUCAAAACUUGCUUUUUUGUGACUUGCAAUUGUAUGACCCUUUUUUUGAUAUUGUUAUGCUUCCAUGCUUUACAUUAUGUUUUUUAGUUGGCAUCUGUGUGUAUUCUUGGAUUUUUCAAUGACUAAAUGACUGUUCAUCACCAAAUUUUGAGUGUUCGUCAUGAGGGGAAUUGGUCCUCAGUUUUCUUCGUUGGUGAGGUGUUUAUGAAUCUUAAUUUUGUUUAUUAGGAAUUUCGGAGCAUCUAAUUUUGGUUGUGUUUAUUUAUUCAAUUGUGAAUUUUUGUAUUACAUUAUUGUUUCAUGAUUAUCUUCUAUAUUGUUUGUUGAUAUUUCAAAACUAUUCCAGUAGUCUAGUUUUUUUAGUAAUUUGCUAGGUUUAGAUAGUAAGCUGAGUUGGAAAAUGAUAAGUGGAAGGUGUUCAUAAUUGUCUUCAGGUAACAAUAAAAUAUUAUUUUGUAAAAAAUAUAACUAUUGGGAAAUAAGCAUAUGAUUGUUUGCAAGCAUGUUUGGAAACAUGUGAAGACAAAAUUUGAAGCUUGAAGAAUAUGAGAAAAGGGUUAUAUAGCUAUCUUGAAAUUAAAGAGCAUGUGUUUAUCAUUUUUGAUGUCUACACAUAAAUCAAAGUUGCUUAAUGGUUCUUGGGUGGACGGGUACUUAUCCCUUGUGAAUUUGCUUGGACUGUUUAUGAGGAUGUUAUGAUACUUGUGAGACUUUUUACUUGGUGUGGCAUCUUUGAGUUAUUUUGGAGCUUAUUCAGUAUGGUGCCAAUUCCUGUUCAAUUAUGUUUGUUUUUUUUAAUUAUUACAUUUUCCAUGCUUUUACGACUAAUUUACUGUGUUGAAUGUAUUUCCUGUUCAAUCAUGUUUGGUAUUUUCUUUGACUACAUUUUCCAAGUUACUAUGAUUAUUAGAUUACAUUUUCUUUGACUACAUUUUCUUUGUCGAUUAUGCAAUUUGAUUAUUAGAAAUUUGAUUUUGUUGUUCAUAUAGGUUGUAGCAUAUUUUGCAAUUAGUAUGAGAUUUGCAUUGAUUAUGAAUGUCAUCGUUUAUCAAACAGAUGGGUUUGCUGUUUAGAAUUUAAAAUUAAAUACAAAAACAAACAAUAAUAGAAAUAAGACUGGUAAAUUGGACAUUGCAAUAACCACUUUACUAUCAUUGUUGUUUUCCAAGCUUAGCUAAGAAGACUAUAAAGUUGGAUAUUAUGUGAUGUUCAUUGCUGGAUAGGUAUUCUCCAGGGAGGUUGAUCAACUUCUCCUUUUGUCAACAUUUGGUGAUUGCAUUGGACUUCUACUUUACUGCUUGAUUGUUUUAUCUAAUUCUAUUUAUGUAUUCACAUUUUUCUUCUCCUUUUUCCCUAGUUGUCUUUAUUUUUUCUGGUGGUUGGUAAAUUUUCUAUUGUUAAUCUUAACAUCUAUAAUGGUAUUCAAUUGGAAAAUAUGUUGGGCAUAUGAUAGCUGUUGGCUUGAGAAUUAUGGGCAUUAUCUUUUUCCAUGUGAUAGCUGUUGGCUUUGUAGUUAUCUAUUGGUUCAUGUUGUGAGAAGUCUGCUUCUUGUUUUGCUGUUCUGUUGUGACAUUGUAGUUCCAUAAGCAUUGUUCCAUCACCAGGUGCAGUCUGGUUUUGCAUAUAUAAGAGAGAUGAUUACAUCUAUCUUGACUCUCUCCAGAUAGAUUAUAUAAAGCCUGGUGACUGAUACAUCUGCUGUGUUAUUCUCUACAUAAUACGCCUGGUCUCUUUAUGUAUUCAUUUGUUGUCUUUCAGAUCUUCUGAACAUUGAUCUCCUCCUUGAUUUUUUGUUGUGUGGCAUCCAAUAGAUUUUUUAUUUCUGAAAUUUUGGGGUGUCUUAGCUUCUGAACCUUAAUUUUGUGUUUUUAAUGUGAUCUAUCAUGAUCAUGGGGUCAUCAAAAUGUCUGUUUUUGUUGGAACUUUCUGUGAUAUACUGAUAAUGAAAAUGGUACAUUCUCUGUUCUAAUGAGUUCAUUACAUCCAUUGUUAUUUUUCACUUGGCUAUUGAAGAGCCUAUAGUUUUUAUGUCCUGGUUUUGGUGUUUUGGUUUUGGUUAAUUUUUCAGAAUUUCAUUUUUUUUUCCCUCUUGACAUUGCAUUGGGUGGUACAAAUUAUUUUGUGCUUCAUCUUUGUGAACCAUUGGUAUCAGAAUUUCUCUGUGGUCUCUUUCCCUUUAUUCAGGUUUUGCUUUUCUUUUCUUUGAGAUGCAUCCCUGUUUCUCUUAUUCUAUGCUUCAUUUAUUGUUCAAGAAGCUAGGAUGGGGCUAACAGUGAAUGCAGUAAACCAUGGUUGGUUAUCUCGAGCAAUAAUGGUAUGUAAUUUUGACAGUCUGUUAAAUAUUCAUCAGUAGGGUCACUCGGCGAACUGGGUUUUCAUUUUUAUUAUAUUUUGUAGUUGCAGCAAUCUGUAAGUCAUUAUAUUUUGGUUUCUGAAAGUUUGGGAUGUCUUAGUUUCUGAACCUUGAUUAUGGGGUUUUAAUGCCAUCCAUCAUGACGAGCAUGGGCAUUUUUAUAUACUAAGUAGGUCAUCAAAAUGUCUGAUUGUAGGAAUAGAUCAUAAAAGUGUCUGUGUUUGUAGGAAUUCUGUGAUGUAAUGAUAAUGUAAGCGGUAUGUUCUCUGUUCUGGUGAGUUCAUUUACAUCCAUUCUUCUUCACUCGACUGUCAAAGAACCUAUAGAUUAAUUUUCACAAUAUCCUUUUUUUUUCUUUGAAAUAGAUUUUAGUUGUACAUUGCCUUCAAUUCUAUAUCACAAUUUUUGUUGUUACUUUAUGGACAUUGUAUUAGGUGGUACAAAUUAUGUUGCACUUCAUCAUUGUGAACCAUUGGUACUAAAUCUCUCUGUUGCUCUCUUUCCACUUAUUCAGCUUUUGCUCGUCUCUUUUUCUAAACAUGUGCUUGAUUCUCUUCUAUGCUUUAUCUAUUGUUCAGAAGUUAGGACAAGGCUAACAGUGAAUGUGGUAUGCAAUUUUCACUUGUUUGGAUGGUCUGUUAAAUAUUCAUUAAUUGGGUCAUUUGGCAAACAGGUUUUUGAUUUCUGUAAUAUUUUGAAGCGGCAUAAUGUUAGUCAUGUUCGAGUCUAAGGAUGUUUAGAUGUACUCUAUAUAUGAAGUUUUUUCUUUUGCAUUAUUUCUGAAUUUUUUUUUCUUAUUCCUAUAUGCAUCUAUCUCAUGUUAGUUCGUUUGGUUUUGUAUCUUGAUUAUGUUAUGAACUAUUUCAAUAUGGUUAAAGAGAUCGUACCGGUCCGUAUCGGUAUACUAACUAGUUGUUGGUAUGGUACGUAUCGAGUUGUACCAAAUGUACCGAUACAUGGUAUAUUGAUAUUGAUAUACUACCCAUACUGGUCCCUUGUUGGACUGGUACGUACCACUCAUACCGGUACUCUGUGGUACAACGAACCUUGAGUGUAAGAGUUGUAAAUGAGUUCAAUAUCUCCUACUGACAUCCACACAGUUAUAGUUGCCUUAUUUUUGCUUUGUGUUUUUUGUAUGUUCGGUAAAUUAAUAAUUUGUUUGUUUAAUGUUUUCUGUUUGGCAUUUGUAUUGUCACAAAAGCUGCUUCCUCUCGAGUAUUUUCAAGAAAAAAGAAACCAUGCCCAUUGGUGAACAUUUUGUAGGCAGCAUUCUAGUGCAUGUUAAGGAACAUCAUCAUGUUAAUUAUAAGCUUCUCUGAGAGCAGCUGUAGGAAAAACUUGGAUUUUGUUCUUUACUGGCAGGGCUUAUGAAUGAUACUGGUGUUUUGAGUUUGAGACUUAAAUAAGCCCUACUUGUAUUUAUUGUUGCUGUAAUUAACUUACUCUAGGAGCUGUUCUGGUUAUGCAAGCCACACAUUAAUAUGAGCAAAUACAUCAGAAUUUCUAAAUUGGAUACUGGUGAACCUACAUGGUACAUGGAUAUAGACUCGGGUAUUCAUGUUAUUGUCUAUCUUAUAGCUUGAGCUAAUCAGCUGUAAGUGUUCAUUUUUCAGUAAUGUGGAAAAGAAGUUUCAGGAGUCCCCACAAAAUUAAAUGUUUCAGUGGCAUCAAUGUUAUACAAACUCCCUAUACAAAAUUCUUGUAAAAACUUCAGUGGUGAAGAACCUCAUCGGUUGUUUACCCUGAUUUAUUCAAGGUUGUGGAAGGCAUUAACAAUCUUUUUGUAGUUGAAAGCUUUUUUUUGGUUCAUCAAUAUGUUGGGAUUUGUUUAUUGUCUUCUUAGAACUCUGACGUGUAUAUUCCUUUUAUAUUAGACAUCAAAGAAAUUUUUAUUUUUUAUCUGUUGUUAGUUGUAAUUUUUACUAGGAUGUUUUUUGAUUGUGAUGUCAAAUGAGUGCUUUUAAGUGAUUUAAAGGUAGCACAGUUGUGGUGUUAGAACACUGUUUUAGUGAUCAUUCAAGUAUUUAGACGUUAUUUUAAGCACUAUGUAGCCUUGUUUGGGUAACUACCUUUUUAUGUAGUGUAUUGUGUGUAUGCCAUAUACUGUGUAUAUGUAUGUGUAUUUGUUGUGAGUAUCAAAACAACGGGCGUUACACAUUACAAGUCCUCUUCCCUUUCCUUUUAUUUGCAUCAGACUUUAGAUGUUUAGUUGUUUUGUGAUUAUAUGUGAAUUUUUUGCAUGUCUUGCGCAACUGAUGUGUGUUCUGUGUCUUGCAAUGUCUAUAAUUCCUUGUACAAGACCAUACUGGAAAGACAUGAGAAUGUCUUGGUCGUUGCAUUUGGUAAUGUGUAUUUAUGCUAGAUUUAUUUUUGACUACAUAGAUUAGCAAUAAAUUUAUAUGUUAUAUUUAUAUGUCCUUGUUCAUGCCUAGUGAAUUCAUCAUGGAAAUUUAUUAUUGCUUAGAAAUUGUGAUUGUUCUGUUUUCUGAAUAUUUAUCAUGUACUUUAUAUGUAUGUUAUAUUUAUGCAGCUUUUGAUCCGUUUUCAUCCCUUCUUUCUGACUUUUUAUCCAUUCCAUGCUAAACUGACAGAAACUGUCACAAUGUUGCAUAAUGAUGUCAUUUUAUUCCCCUUCAAUAGUAUUUGAAUUGCCUUGCUGUCCAUUCCAACCAAAGAAUUGUAUCUCAACUAUCAGACGUAUACUAGUUUAGGUCUAAGAAUAAUAUUAAGUAUUAGACCUAUAUCUGUUUAGUCCCACAUUGGUAUGGGUCUAAACCAUAUUGGCGGGGAAGGGUGUGGGCGAGGCAUCACACAGAGCCACGAGGCCUUGCAGUGGGAGCAUACGGCGAAGGCGACGGACGGGCGAAGAGUAGAAUUACAACAAUUUAGGGGUACUAUUUGGGUAAAAAGAAGAAGGCAUCAACAAUAUGUUUAUGAGCUCUUAUGCAAGAGCCAUGGGAUAAAAGCACCACCUUGUUGUUCCAGCCGUUUUGUGUUUCCUGAUAUUACUAAACUACUUAGUUGAUUUUUCUUCUUUCAUGUUGUUAGGGUUCUCUGGUAUCAUCGAUUGAGAUGUGGUCUAAGCAUCCUUUAGUAGUUUUAUUAUUGUUAUAAAAUUCUAUUUUUUUAUGAACCUAGAAGGUCAGGCAGAGAACUAUGUCAAUAAUGAUAGCUGCAAGAAAGGGUUGGUGUUUGCUAAUAUUUAGAUCUGGGCUGUUGGUUGUCAUUGUGUUUGAAACAUUAAUUAUAGAAGGAAAGCGGAAUUUGGGUUUCUUAGUUUCUUUAGUUGAUUCUUGGUCUGCUCAGGAUGAGUUCUAGUUUCUUCAGUUGAUUCUUAGUCUGCUCAGGAUGAGUUCUAGUUUCUUUUAUCGAUUCUGCACCAGAGUAGUAUAUGAUGUAUUAUUGGGAGUCCUGACAUGAUAGUCAGUUUCAAUGAGUUCAGCUUGUUGGUUCAUCAAUUUCAUACAUGAAAUGGUUCUGGAUUUUGGAUCCGCAUUUUGUGUGUCAUGAGCAAGCUCUGGUUAUUCUAAUUGAUUAGGUUUUUAAUGUGCUGAUACUCUUCUCCAAGGGAACCAUACUCUUAUCAUUCUUUUUGUGUUUAGGAGGAAAGCCAAUUAUCAUUUUUUUUGCACCCUCAAAAAAGUUUUUCAUGUUUGGGCUUUUGAAGUUGAUCUUGUGAUUGCUUGACAACCAUCAGUAUCUUGCAGUAUGGAUUAGCUUAUGUGUAAGGUUCAGAUAGAUGGUGCAGGUUUUAUUAUGUAAAGAAAUAGAACACUUCGUCUACAAGCCUUGGUUUCAUUAUUAUUAUUCUAUUUCCAUUUCCUUGCUUGGUUGGCAACAUGAGCAUUGAUAUUUGUAGUGGAUCAUGUAAAUGUGAAGCUUGUUAUAUUGGGUUGAAGCUGCUAAUAACUGGAUUGAUGGUUCUUUGUUUGGUUGAUUGGCUGACUGAUCAUCCCAAUGGCACUGGAAUUGUUGAUUCAAUUUGUUGGGACUGACUGAUGGUUGUCAUCGAGUUAUUAGUUGGGACUGACCUUUGAAUAAUGCUGCAGCAUGAGGUCGAUUAUAGUUUAUAGUUUUGACUGGCCAUCAGAUAAUGGCACUGGAACAGUUCGUUGGAUAUGGAAUAGUGGUGCAGGUUUUAGGUUGUUGUAGGGUUCAGUUUGACAGGGUUUUGCUAAUCAUGUGUGUUUGUUCUUAUUUCAAUGUUUUUUAUAGUUUGUCUCAGGUAUGUUUCAGCGGUGUUGGAUGGUUUUGUCUAGUUUGUUUGUUGCGUAAUAAUGUGUGAUCAUAGUUUUUUUUCAUAUAAAUAUAAAUUUAGUGGAAUUUACUAGUUUCUUUCUUUUUGUCGAACAUUAGUCCUUGAAUUUUUUUUGUCGUUUUGUUGAUUUUGUUGUAUUAGGUGUAUUUUAAUAUAUUAUUUUUGUCUGGUUUCUGUAUGCUUUUGUUGUAGAUGCGGGAUGACCCAAACUACAUCUUUUCCAAUGUGUCUUCUAGGAUAGUUAUGAUAGUAUAACGUUGGUUGGUUGUUGGUUGCUGGUUGCUUAACGCUGAUUGUUUGUAAGUUCUUUUGUAGCUUCACACUUCCAUCACUGGACAUUAAUGUUACGUUUAGCAUUGUUACAAAUGCUUCAAUUUGGAGUGGAUACUUUUGUUUAGUCGUGUAAUAAUUUGAAAACUUGUGUCUUCACAUUGCUCGUCUAAAUGGAUGAGAGGGGGGUCGUGGGCAUUGCUGCAAAUAAUGCAUGCGAGUGGACGAUGGUAAUGUGCUGCUUGUGAACGUGGAUGCUUGUCCGUGGGUUUCUGUUUUAUUAUAAUUCGAGAUUAUCAUUGGUUGCCUUUGUGUUUGUUUUGACAUAAUUUUUAGGUUUGUUGCUUAACACUGCCAUUGCCAGUCUCAAGCCCGGAUGAGAAAACGUGGAGGGGGCAAUAGUUGAUCGGUACCUCUGUCUGUUGUAAAUAAUCCAAAUGAUCUGCGAGUAUCACAACAUGAGUGCAUUGCUUGCCCAUAGGAGCAACUUGUAUGACUUUUGUGUUUGAUUUUCGAGAACUCGAGGGAUAAUAUAUCUAUAUGAGGUUUCUAUUUAGAGUACAUUGUAUUUUUUUCAAAAUUGAAUGUUUUAUCAAAUUAGGAUUUUUUCUAGGGUAAUAUUUCUAUAGAUUUGUUAGAACUUCUAUAUUUAGAGUAGCAAGUCUUAGAUCAUUCAAAAGAUAUUCUUAUUAUUCAAAACUUAUCCAAAAAAAAUAAUUUCAUUAGUGUAAAUGUAAGCACUUAAAAUAUGAUUCAUCAUGUCUAGUUUUUCAUUCAUCACCUUCACAUAUUCUUAUUAGAUGAUAUUUAGAUUUUAAAUUAAUUUUUAAAAAUAUAUAAGUAUCAUGUAAUUCAUCCAACAUGUUAUCUAGCUUAGGAAUAGGUUGUUUAUAUCAUGAUUUUGUUGGCUUAUUUGGUAUGCUUGCACUUAGAAUGAAAUCAAUUUGAUGCUCAAUUUGUUUAAUUGGUGGUAAAUCAUUAGGAACUUCUUGUACAUCAACAAUAACAUUAGUCAAAUUUUUAUUAUUUUUUUAACAGUAAUCAAAACCUCAUUGUAUAUAAGUAUAAAUAAGGGUUGCAUGCCUAAGGUUUUUACAUCAUUCAUUUUGGCAUAAACACUCUUUUUUCUUUCUCUUAAGCUUUCCUUGUUUUCUCUCCUUGUUUCUCAAUAUUCUCAUUUUUACCACUCAAUUUAUUUAUUUAUUUAUUUUUCUCUUUCUUACUCCCUCUCCAAAGUUUUGAUUAAUGAAGACUUAAGCUUCUCAAAUUAUUGUUUUAUAUGCAUUUGGUCUUAAAAAAUUGUCAUUGGAGGUAAUGGUCGAAGCUGAUAUUUCUACCUAUCCAUGAUCAAAGAAUAAUGGUUUUUGAACCAAUCGUGUAUGUUACUUUGAUCAUAUUGCCAAGGUCUCCCUAACAACAUAUGACCAGCAUACAUAGGUACUAUAUUACACCAAACUUGAUCCUUAUAUCUAUCAAUUGAAAAAUAAAUUAACACUUGCUGAUUUAUCUUUACUAAACUAUCAUUCAACCAUUGUAUCUUGUAAGGUUUUAGAUGUUUGAUAUUAGAUAAUUUUAGCUUCUCCACGAGCAAGGUGCUUACCACUUUUGUUCAACUUCCAUUAUCAACAAUCACAUUGCACAACUUGUUAGCAAUCAAAUAAUAAGUAUAAAAAAGAUUUUCACGUUCAUCUUGUUUAUCAUUUUUAUUGUGCAAACUAAGUGUGCAUUGAACAAUUAGAUUUUUACUUUUAAUAUACUCUACAUCACUAACAUCCUUUGGAAUGUCAUCAUCAACCUAUCUCUCACUUUUAGAUUAUGCAAUCCUAUCUCUCAUAAUCAUCACAAUCCUACCCCUCAUAAUCAUAACUCUCUUAUUAGGACAUUCACGUGUCAUGUUUCCAUGCCCAAGGCAUUUAAAACAUUUAAUACUUCUAGUUUGAUUAGGUUGAUUCUCACUUUUACCCUUGCUGUUUGAUUUAUUUUUGCCUUUAGUUUCAUAAAUUUCAGGCUUAACAAUCGGUUUAUCAUCAUUUUUACUCUAAUUCGAUUUUCAAGAAAAAGAAGAACCCAAAUAAAGUUUUGAAUCAUACAUCGUGUAAUUUUGGAUCCAAAAUAUUUAUUCUCUAGCUUAGUCUCUACGUUAAGAAGUUAGAGAAAUAUUCCUACGUUAAGAAGUUAGAGAAAUUCGGUUAGAGAAAUAUUCCUAUGCUACCUCCCGAGGNNNNNNNNNNNNNNNNNNNNNNNNNNNNNNNNNNNNNNNNNNNNNNNNNNNNNNNNNNNNNNNNNNNNNNNNNNNNNNNNNNNNNNNNNNNNNNNNNNNNUAUAUAUAUAUAUAUAUAUAUAUAUAUAUAUAUAUAUAUAUAUAUAUAUAUAUAUAUAAAUAUAUAUAUAUAUAUAUACAUAUAUAUAUAUAUGUGUACGCGCUAAGAAAUCAAGGUGCUAAAUCACCUUUUGCUAAGAAACUAUAUGGUUGCAAGGAAAACUGUUACAGAAGAUAUUUUCAUAGAAUUAUACAAUAUUUGUAUUGUAGGUAAAGUUAAAGAAAACUGAUUUUCUAUUCCAUUUCUUGUGACUGAAGACCAAAGUGAAAGAAAGCCCAAAACAUGGUAUGCAAGGAUGAGUGAACUAACAACAGAAAGGCCAAUAAGGAAAGAUCUAUUUUCCAUUUCACAAAGAAAGAAUCUGAUGAACAACCAGAAAAAGAACUUUUGUGAGAAAUCUGGAAAACAGUUCUCCAGAUUUUUUUGGUUUUCCUGCUAACCAAACAUUAAAAUAGAAGUUCUAUAAGAGAACAAUAUUUUCCAUGGAAUUUUUAUGUGCAGUAAAACACAGCCUAAGUUAAAAGUCAGAAAAGACAACAAACAAGAAAAGAUACUAACCCCUGCCCACUCGCCAAGGGUUUUGGCACUUGGCACUGUUACUAGAUGCACAUUAUGAUCAGCACAAAGUGCUUUGACUAGCUUGACAUAGUCAGCCUGGUUACAAUCCUCAGCUAGAAUGCAAAGUUGUGCUGCAUGCUUCUCAAUUGCCUUGGCCGCCUCAUGGAGACCACGAACAAGCCCAUCAUGAGCCAAUGAUUUCUUCAUCACAAGUUGGAGAGCUGUCAUCAAGUCCAUAGGCUCCCCAAGAGCUGGAGCAGUUUUUUCAGCCUCUUCACUGCAGAACCACAGGGAAAGGGAAAGAGUGUCAAUACGAUGCAAGAAUACAGCAUGUAAGGUGUAAGCUUACUGCUCAUGGAAGAAGUUAAAAUAACAUAACAUGCACCUUGAUAUAAACAAGAAUCCAACAAAUAAAUAAUUCUUUCUAAACUUAUUAAGCAGUAAAUUCAACCACUAACAUUGCAUAUAAUUAACUUCCAUGUCAAAACCAAACUAAAAUGGAGCCUCAGUGGCUCAUUGCAAUGUUGAGAACUAUGAACAUAACAACUAAUUCACCAAUUCCAUAGAGAAGUGGCAGUGAUAUUGCCAUACAAUAUUAGUGAAAAAGAUCAACUAUCAGUUGAAGGUUACACCUGUUGAAGAGUAGUGUUCAGUCAAAAAAACUGUCCCUCUCAUGGUUUUGGCAUAGCUAAAGCCUAACCAUCCUACAAUGUCAGAAUAAUCCAACCAUAAGCAUAUGUCCACUAGGAACCCUUAAAUUAAUCUCUGGCUAAAUUUGCUGCUAGGUGGUCCUCACUAUGGACUGUUAUUAUCAGUACAAUGUGGCCAAAGGUAGAUCCCUGCAUCAAUAUUUCGGCCUAGCUCAAGCCUAAGCAUCCUAGUAUGUCAGAAUUAUGCAACUAAAGAGAUAUUUCCACAAGGAACCCUAAUAAAAUCUCUAGCAAAAAUUUGCUGUUAGAUGGUCUUCAAUAUGAACUCUUAUUAUUAGUACACCGGCCGAUGGUAGAUCCAUGCAUCAAUCUUGUUACUUGUAGAUUCUUCUCCAUGACAAGAAAAGCUUUUAGGCGAUGACAAGUAAUCACUCUUGUUAUCAAAUUUACACAUCAUAUGAGCGGGAAAAGGACUAGGAACUUAAACAAAAUCAAGUAUGACAACAACGCACCCAAAUUGCAGAACCUAAUGAGAUGCAUUCUCCUUUACUCAUACUGCAGAUCCUAAACUAGACGCAAAGAGAUAGUAUAUAGAUAUGAUUAGUAGAAGCAACUAGUGUUCGCCUGAUAUUAGAAUAAAGUCCCCAAACUUUUUGCAAGUAUUCAUUUUAAUACAGAAAAUAAGCAAUAACUAUUCAAACAAACACAAGCUCAUUAAAAUCCUUGUCACAAGUCCAAAUAGAUCAACCGAAGACAAAAGGGAGUACGGGGUAUGGACAACGUACCCGGCCAUCUCCUUCAACUCGAUCUCGAUCUGAAGAAGAGAAGAAACAAAGAAAAAGAAGCGUGAGAAAAAGAGACGAAUAAUUGUAAGGAAAACAACACGCAGAAGAAUUGAACGGAGAGUGAGCUCCACCAACACGUGGUCCGAUGGUCUUCGGAUUAGGGUUUCCAGAUGCGGAGAGCGGAAACGCGAGGCGAGAUGGUUUAUAUACGAAAGGCCGGUUUGGUUUCGACGAACCCAAUCCGGCGCGAACGGGCCGGACUUGGACUUCCACGAGGCAAAUGAAUCCAACUCAAGUCUUGCAUCAAGAUCCGUGCUCAUGUCCAUGCUUUCAAUACUUUAUACGUACUUGGGUUCCGUAUGCAUCAGUCACGAAGGAACGAAGGAACAAAGUGGCAUCGGUAACCAUGCACAGACUCGACAAAAGUAGAAAAAAAGGUGCUCGAACAAAUCGACAGUGGGUGUCCGCUGCAAUAAAAUGAACGUGCAUUUAGUAAUACCACCGUGAAGCAUCACAGCGUACAACAAAGAAGCUAAGGAAACAACAAAAAUGCCAAUGGUAUUGGCACCAAUCAAUGUCAAAAAUUUGCCAGGGAAGAGAAAGGCACAGAGAGAAGUGGCAUCAGGAGAAAUUGCCGGAGCUUCGUGGUCUCUCUCGUUGCUGCAGUGCUGGGUAAAAAGGAAUAAUGGCAGAACAAUGAAUGAGCCUCUUAACAUCAUGAGCUUUCCGUCAAGAUGUACAAGGCUCUAAAGUUACAGUCGCAGGGGUGGUGCUUCAACUUCAUCUCACUUCCCUGUGUUCUCGACAGUCGAGAAUGCAAGUGGCUCCGGUAAAUCUCCACAUGGAUUACCCUUGCUGGACUCUGGUAGUUUGACAGCGGGAAUGUUGGUAGAUCCUGGCAAUACACCGGUUUCCCCGCCUUGUCCGUCUGCAUCUUCAGACAAAGGUCGAUGCUUAUCUGUGUCUACUGCCACUUCAUCCAUGUUUUUGUCCAUUCUGAGCUGACCAUUUGGGACAUCUGCAGUUGGCUCUACGCCAGGCAUGUCAGAUCUCGAUGUCUCCCUCCACUCAAUCCACCCUAGGGGCUUGUCACCCUUGCUUGUAGUUGAGUUACUAGUGUCCUCUCUGGGCUCAUCCACAGGACCAUUUCCAGAUAUUGUAGCUUCAGAUUCCCCCGAGGUAGCUCCAGGAUCUGUCACUUGCAAAGAUGUUUCUAUGUCACUUGGAUCCUUGUUUUCACCAAUAACCACCUUGUCUGGCUCAUCCACACGAGGUGAUGUCUCACUUGAAUUUGGAGAUGAAGCAAGAGAAUCAUUCGAAUAAUCAGUAACCCCUCUAUCAUUUUCAGAAGCAAAUAAGUCGGAAUUUGUAAUUUGGGAGCUGCACGAGACAGAAUUUUGAUCAGCCUACUCAAAAUUAUACCAAGCAACCAAAGGGUCAGUGGAUGUUUUUCAGUUUGCAACUACCUGUCCUGGUCAUCCCCAAGACUCAAAGAUGAAAUAACUUCUGCCGACUCAUUAUUGAAGUAAGCAUCCUGCAAAAAUUAUAUAAUACAUAAAUGCCUUUGGCACAAACCGAACAUAAAUUCAACUAUAUGAUUGAAAAGUAUUGACAAGUUCACCUUGUCCUACCUCCUCCAGAUCUUAGUAGCACAUGAUAUGAAAUAGUAAAAAAAUGAAAUGAAACAUUUGUCGAAUUGGCAAAUCAAAUAAAUUCAAGAAAAUAGAUUUUCAAGGUUUCACGUCGUAUUUAUUACUAGAAAAUCAUUCCAAAGUUGAUAACGAGAGCAAAAGGAAAUAGGCAAUGACGACUGUGAUCAUUGUAUCAUACCUCAUCAUCUCGUUCAAAAGAUCCUUGAGCCUGCACCCAGCAGCCAAAAGCAGAUAAAUUAACACUGCCAAAGAAUCCAAAUAGUAUACACAAAACCAUAGAAAUCCCGAAAUAAAAUUUCUUUAUCAUUUAACUAUUGUGGGAAUGGUAAAAUCAGCUUCACAAGCAUCUUAGAUAUCAAUUGUUAUGCAGAAAGCUUGUCUCAAUGUCAGCUCCAAUGAAAACAAGAAUGGUGCUUCCAACCAAACAACUUUCCCAAACUAUACAAAGGAAAGAUGUGACACUUGUUGUUUAUCAUGCUAGAACAGCUUUGCAUGUUAGAUACAUUCGAUUUAAGGGCAUGUCCUAGUAGUGCAUAGAUCAUGCCAACUCGAACCAACCACCACCUUAGACCAUGCCAAAUGCCAGGCAAAGCUGAGCAUGGGGGCAUGUCAGUGCAAGAAAAACCUUGCAUGUGUUUGCCUGACUCAAAUAUCACUGACAAAAGACAGAAUGACAUACAGAAUGGCAAGUGACAAUUGAUACCACAUUCGAUGAUCAAUCUAGAAAUCAAAGAAACAUCAAUUCAAACCAAACAUAACAUACAAUCUAAGCAAAGAAACAAUUCACAGAUGAAAUUUAACAGCAAGCAAACAUUCAAAAAGCAGUACCUUUAAGAAUUAAAAACAUUUACAAUGCAUCAUGAUGUUUACCUCUUCCAUGUCAUUUGCAUAAAUUCCAUGCCGAAAAGUUUGACUCAGAUUACCAGCCAGUGUUGCCACAUCAAAAUCCCGAUCUCUGAAGUCCUCAUCAUCGCUAUCCCUGAUUCGGUCAUGUAGUGUACUAGGACGCCUUAAAAAUAAUGAAAAAUAUCAGGAUUACUUCGUCCAGAGAAUAUCCAAGAUGAAGGUACGUAAUCACAAAUGUAAAAGGUUUCAGUUUGUCCAAACAGCAUAACUUUCAUUAAGUUUCAGCAUGAAAAUGAGAAUAACUCUUGAAAACUGGAAUACACUUUAACAGGUCAAAUAUGAUAAUCAUCGGACAAGCAAUCGGUUUACAGGAUCCAAGUAUUAAAAGAAAUCAUCCCCAAACAAGAAAGUAAUGGAGGUCUUUCGUGAAGCUUAACGCUUUGACAACUCGCCAUGCAAAGAUGAACUAGGUUUGACUGCCCUAGAUCAUCAAUCAAGUGAAUCUCCUACAAAUUUCUAUAUUCAGAAUAUCUAUCUCCAACUUUGGACAACUUAGAAUACAAUUAUAAUUGCAUGUAACGAAAGUAAAAUAUACUAAUGCAAUAUAGAGAUUAUUAAGUUCUAGAAUUAUCUGCAAGCACAUGUUUAUACAAAAUUUCAGCAAAAGUGGUUGUGAAAGAUUUGAGUUCAACUUAGAUUAUGUACACACUUGAUCUAUUAUAUAAAAUCAUAGCUUAAGUCAUUAUAAUGCAAAUGACAACUACAUUUUAAACCAGUGCCUACCCAUAUGCAAACUGUAAAAUCACAUAAAAGAAAUCUACACACUCUGAGUGCCACAAAUCCAUAAUCAACCAUGAUUGUGCCUAAUUGAAACUUAAAACAUAUGUGGGAUUUCUUAGUCAAAUAUGCAUCACCAAAUUUUGCAAAUUUUCUUUAGUAACCAAAACUAUAACAAUUAAACCUUCCAAAAUUUGUUGUUAACUUACCACCAAGUAAACUUCAAAGAGGAGAAACAUUUACCUUGGAAGAUCAAUGAUGAUAAAGCUCUGAUUGAAAUGUUUGCAUUUACCAUAUACAACAACAACCAUAAUGCAAAGGGCGAUUAGUCAAAAUUUGUCACAUGGAUUAAGUUCCAUAAAUACUUAUGGGUACAUACCGAGAAAAGGGUGUGUUCUUCUCUAAGAAAUGAUAAAUAGAACUUAACAAUAACAAAAAAAACAGAUUAUUCUAUGUUGAAGACAUAAAAUGUUUGAACGAAAUAUGAAUCACGGGGAAAUUUGAUGCUAACAUAACAGAGUAUGCAUUCUAAGGAAAUUUGAUAUUAAGAGUAGGCAAAAGAGACAAGUUAAGAUAGAGCAUAUAGGAUCUUGAAAAUUUUGUGGCAUCCUUCAAAACAACCAAAAUGUCCAUGUGCAUUCAAGAGUUUUAUUUGGAGGUAUCCUGUUAUCCUACAUCAAUAUCUUUUUUUUGCUAUUAAUCACACACUCCUAUAGACAUCUUCCAUGAAAAGAAGAAAAUAUACGGAACACUUGUUCCUCGAUAAAUUUUAUCAUCAAUGCCAUUCUAGGUUGUAAACUAGUAUACAAUAAUAAUGUUCAAGCGUCCUGGACUAAUCAUAAAAAGCAUGAAAUAGCCUACCCACAAGCCCAUUGAUGAACAUUUUCAACAGAAUUCCGCUUGAGCAAGAUGUGAUUAUGCCAGUCAACCCAGUCACUGUUUUCCUGAAAAUAAAAACCCAGCUGAUGGAUCAAGUUUUUAAACAAUGAAGUAUAGGAUCAGAAGAAAAGGUAAUCAGUAUAAUUACAAGCAUCAGAUUUCUAAAUGGAGCAUAGUCUGCACACUGCCAAAAAAAAGAAUGAUCUCACAGCAUAUGUAAAUAGUAAAAUCAUCUAGAGAACUUUGGGUAGCAUGAGCAGCAGGAAGUAAUAUCAGAUUUAAUAAAGCUAUACUUAUUUAAUAUAUAUUUCAUAGUUUUUUUAGUAAUCUCCUUGGAGAUUUUAUUGCUUUGUCAUCUUAUAACAGGUAAAAUUAUAGAACAACACCAUAUAAAUGACAAACCCAAUAUGCAAUGGCUGUACAAGGACCAAAAAUUUUACCAUACAAAAAUCUAAAAAAUAAGUUAAGCUUCCAACUUCCACAACAAAGAAAGUCCACAAUCCACCAAAAUACUUUCAAAAAUUACAUUGAACCAUGACAAAGUAGAAUUUUUUAAAAAUUACACACACAGACAUAUAUAAGGAAGCUGAUUGACCUGCAAGUGUGUCUGGAUUAUGCGCUUGCUAUUUGCCAACUGCAUAAGCUUGUUCGCUAUGCGUGUCAUGUGUCCCACAUUUCCUAUUCUUGGCGGUAGCCGUCCCUCUGCAGAUAUUGUAGCCUGCAAACAGAGUUUUACACUUGCAUGGUUGUUAAUAAAUAUUCUGAUGUUAUCCUUGAGAAAGGGAACACACAAGUAUCAGAUGAAACAUAGUUAAUUUGUGGGAUAUGACACAUUUGGAGUAUGAGACAUAAUAAUUUGAGCAUCGUAGUAGCAUUCUGUUACACAAACAUUAUCUUAUUAAGUUAUGGUAUUACAGAAGUUCCAUACCUUAGUGGAAUCAGUUGACAAGGAAGUUUGCUUUUCUGCCGCAAUAAUUUUACCAGCAAGGUCACAAUCAUGCAAAAUAUGUUCAACUAAAAGAGUCCUCUUACUCUCUAAGCACGAUCCUACAACAUUCUCAACAUGAUGAUGCAAAAAAUUAUUGUAAGGGUACCUACAAAUUCCAUAAAGUUUUCACGGUAAGAUUCAAGUGGAUUGAAGCAUCAGAAGUCAUUCAGGUGUGCAACUUACUCAAAAAACAAAUCUACAACAUGCUUAAUUGCUCCCAGCUGGGUCAGUUCUUUCUCAGCAGCUUCACUACCAAUCGUCAAUAAAACAGAGAUGAACUCCACAAUCUGAAAACAAAUAAGUCAGGCAAAAACUAAAUAAAUAUGGCAUACAGUUUGAACUUUUAGGCAAGGCAUAUUUCAAGAUACUAACAAAGUAACAAAGAAUGAUGAUUUGUCAAAGUCAAACAAUUAAGUUAUUUUUCAUUAUUUAAUAAUACCAAAAUAGACAUGAAAUAUAUCUUGAAAACUGUUAAGAAAUCAAAAACUACAAUGCUACACUCAAAAAGUAGGGGACAUAAUGUACUCAACAAUCUUGACAACAUGAGCUCACAAAAGAAAAUUAAAAUGAUAGCAGUAUACCUUCAAACGGUGUUUUCCAAGAGGAGGCUGUAAUUUGCCAUAUGUGGUCUGUAAGUUGCUUUCCAAUGAAGAAACAACCAAUAGUUUCAGUAAAUCACCUGUUUCAUAUUUGAAUGAGCAGAAAACAGAGACAGAAGUUGAUAAAGAGAAAAUUAAAGUUAUUGUCGACUGGAAAAGUUUGCCAUACAAGCCAUAAUGAUCAUUCCCAAGAGAAUAAAAAGAGUAUAAUAUUAAAAGUCAAAAUUCUAUUUUAUAAGACCAAGUAUGAAAUGCAUGACAUCAUCUGCGCUUCAUGGCAUAGAAAACUGUACGUAUGUCGACAGUAGAAGUCUUCUGAGAUCUUAUUUAUAGUUAAAAACAUUCAACUACGACAUGUAUGCAAGUUUGAACAUUUCAUGCAACUGGAAGUUUUUAUGGUUUCAAGAACAUAAUCAUAUCAAGGUGAAUAAAAGAUCAAGAAGUACUUUAAAAUCAGUAAGUGUAUAAUCCAUCAUAAAAUGAGUAGAGUUAAGCAAAAGAAAAUCAGCUAAGUAUUUAGAAAUCAUCAACAGUUAUCACCAAUCAAGAAUCUACAAAGAAGAACCUCACAUAGAAAUGAGUAUACACACACAAAAACUGAAAUGAAUGCUAAAGAAAUAUCAAGAAAAAUUAUAAUGAAGUUGGAUUAAAAAAACUAGUAAAAUGAAUGGACUGGCAAAGUUGUAAUAUAUAUGUGUAUGUGUGUGUGUGUGUAGUAUUUAACUUUGACCAGAAGAAGCAUGCUCCAUCUGCAACAAAAGAGAUUCCAAUUCUUCUGCAGAAAUAGUUAUUCUAGACAAGCCCAAUGCGCUCAUUCCAGAACCCAGAGUGUUUGAUUGUUUGACCAGACAGUAUAACUGUAAUCAAAUUACCAUCUGAUAGUAAAUUGUCAGACAUACAUCACAGUGUCAAACAUUAAUGUGAGCAAUGACAUCCAUGACACCCAUAUUCUUAUAUAACACCUCUAGAUAUAUAUGCACUUUGAGACAAUUGGCAGAUAAAACUUCACAAUCCUGUUAAACCUAGAGGUUUGAGUAAGCUUCUUAUCAUUGUAGCAAGGCCAUUGUACAAGUAAAAGCUUCUGAGGGAUAGAAUGGACUAGAAUCCUUCAAGACCUUAGAGAAAUAUCCUAGUGAUUUAUAUUAUGGAGGCAUACAUGGCUUCAAGAAGAAGCUCAAACCUUUUUUUGGGGAUUCGCCAAUGGGUCUUUGGAAUAAACAAAAUAAACUAAUCCUUAGCCUGCAAGCCUUUAUGCAUCUAAAUCAAGACGGCUCAGCACACACACACACACACACACACACAAAUAUAUAUAUAUAUAUAUAUAUAUAUAUGUAUGUAUGUAUGUAUGUAUACAUAUACAUAUAUAUACAUAAAUAUAUAUACAUAUAUAUAUACACACACUUAUAACUUAGUACAGGAAAAAUAGAACUUAAUUUAAAAUUUUAAACGCUACAAAUGGUAUUAGCUUGAUGGGCACACUAUGUUUUGCAAUAACAACAACGCUACAAAAGAUUUUCAGCCAAAUUUAAACAACCUAAACAACUACCAUGGUGCUAAGUUGCAUCCCCAGACUGGCUCAGAAACAAAGUUUGGUAAAGGGCGAGCGUAAAAUUUGCAGGUCAUCCAACAAAGAUUGUUGCUUCAUCACAAGGAAUCAGAUCUCAUGCCACCAUGCCAGCUGGCACAAGCAAAAAGAAAGUGAAAAAAAAAAGUUGACACCAUUUCUAUUAUAGUGGUUGACCCCACUAUAUGUUGGCAUCUUCAGCAACGGUCAACCUGACAUGUGGCUAUAUCUUCCUAGCAUGUGAAACUAUUGACACAUGUGAAUCGGCACAUCAGUACCAAUACUACCAAUAAGCUUCAAAAGGAAAGCUGAAUCGCUUGUCAAUCGAUUGCUUUUCUGAUAUGUGAAGCCCAGUUCAUUAACAAACUAGAUUCUUUUACACUUGCACUUUAGGAGCAGACCUGCCUUUAUGGUAGACCCAUGUUUUCCAGUGACUUCUGCUGUUGCUUGACCAUCAUUGCAUGUAGUCUCAAGAUCUCAUAUAACAUGAGUAAAAAGGACGGCAUAUAAAAGAAAGGGUGAACUGAAGAAGACCUGAUGGAAAUUGUGAAAAAUAAUAACUCAAAGUCUAAAAUAAUUCAUGAUAUAGGAUAACAAUGGGCAAUGAAUGCAAAACUAAGAAACAAUGUUAGAGUUGGUUGUAGUGUACCACAAAUCCAACAGUAUAUCUUGAAAGUCAAAAUGUUUAGUCAUCCUAAUAAGGCUAGACUUUUCUGAAGAACAAUAAGUUUUAAAUCUUCGAAUAGCAGCAUUGUGCCAAAACACCAACAAAAAGAGCAACAUACCUAAUCUCUCUAGCAUGCCCUCAACGGUUUCGUGACUAGCAAUAACCAAUGAUCCAUGAGUUAGCUGGCUUCUAAAUGCUUGAUAGGAAGAUGCUACCAGUCGUUUGGGAUCUAACAAACAUAUGCAGAAAGACAAGGAGUGAACUAGGACAGAUUUAGGUCUCGAAUCUUCCAGCGCAUGAUGAAAUAAUCUCCCCACAUAACUGCAUUUUUGACAGCACAAUGGCAUCGAUGAAGAGUAGAUCAAAGUUCAAAACCCAUAUAAACUACAAUACAAGUUCUAUAACAAGUUGACAUUAUAUAGAAAUCAGGUCAUGUUUACCUUGGGCUGCAAAUUUUAGCUGAAAGCGCUGGAGGGGCACAUCGAGUAAUGGCACAAAGAAUUUCUGCUGCAUUGGCAUGGACAUGAGGAGAGUCCUGCACAAGCAUUGCAAAAUUAAAGUACUCAGUCUCAGAUAAUAAACAUGUUUCUUUUUUCUUUCUCUAUUUUUUACAGUAUAUAGCAUGUCUCAUACAGGAAACACAUGUUCCCCCUUAUUUACUUAUAGCAGAGUUCCAAGAAGGGAUAGUCUAAUACAUAGUUUUACAAUAGAUUAAUUUAAUAUACAAACUUGAAACUACACAUCAUCAUUCCACGAUGACUAGAAAAUUUUAAUGUAUUGCAGUUUUCAGUGGCAAAAGUGGCCCAGUAAUCUAUAUGCAUUCAAACAUAAUCCAAAGUUGCGAAGUAAAGCUGUGUGCUUUUGUGAUGCCUAUAUAUAGCUGUUUUGCAUACUCCAAUGAAUUUCACUGUGCCUAAAUGACAUGAUCAAGACUUCAUGUACGGCAGAUAAUCAAUUCGAGGUCGAAAGAAGGCUGUUCAGAUAUUUAAAAAACAGUUCAAGACUGUUUGGAAAAGAAAACAACAGUACACCUGAUGUAGAACAGCGAGAGAGAUUGAGAGAGAGCAAGAGAGGAGUGAGAUUCAAGAGGAGGACAAGAGAACAGAAGAGAGAAGAUGCAAGUGUUUUUAUUCAAAUCUGACGUGUUUCAUCCAUUGAUAAACUCCACCAUUUAUAGGGGUUUAGAAGUCUUAGUACAAUGAAAGCAAUGAUUCCAAGAGUGACUAGGAACUUGUAUGACUUUAAAAAAUCCAAAAUAUGACUUCUAUGAGACAUAAAUAGUUUUUAAAAAACUUAUCACAACUGAGAAGUAAGAGCGUGCACUUAAUAUAAGAGUGCACUUAAUUCAAAAGCAGAGUCCCAAGGUUAACACCUAGAUUCUUCAAUUUUCCACACAACUCUAAGAGUUUCUAGUAGGGAUCGUCGUACCGCGAGAUACCGCCCAAUAUGGGCGGUACAUACCAAUCCAAUAGGGGACCGACAUGCGAACCACUUUGUACCAGAUGAUCUAUACUAAGAGGCUCUAUAUCGCCCAAUACGAGCUUGUACCACUCGAUAACAGUUGAAAUCCGACCAUUACUGAUCAGUACAUAGGCUUGUACCACUCGAUAAUAAUCAAAAUUCAACCUAUACCAGUCGAUAAUGAUCGGAUUUCGAUCGUUACCGACAAACGGCUCAUAUCUAACCCUUUCCAAUGGUCAUAUCCAUUUGAAUGGGUUUUUAAACCAUUUCCUACCGCUCUUUCACCCCCUUUCAUUCUCUUAAACUCUUAUACUAAACUCUUAUACUCUCUCAAUUUCUUUCUCACUCCUUUCUCUCGUUCUCACAUUUGCACUCUCUUAAAACUUCACAAAGCUAUAAUUUAUGGAUUGAAUCAAGCUUGAGAGACUAAUUAUGAAGUAUUAGCAUCUAAGUUGAGGAAGAACUCUCUAAUCAAAGAUAUAUAAACAACUUCUCAAUCAAAUUCACCAACCCACUCAGUCUAGAGACAUGGCAACGACGUAGACAACAGUGUCUUGAUCGACGAUGGCAACAACGCCAAAGAGUCAAUGGUAACAUCUACACAGUUUGAGGGAGGUGUAUGGAUCGAGGAGCAGUAUUUUACAUAUGCCACCUAAAAUUCAGAUCAUGAAACUCGAUGUGAUAAUUAGUCAUUCUUCUCCGAGUAACAGUAAUAGUUGGUCAUUUUUCUCUCUGAGCAACAGUACUAUGACUGAUCUUAUAAUAUAGAAUAGUAGAUCAAUGGAGAAAGUAAAAGUUCCAACAUUCUCCAUACUCCGCACCAAUACAUGUCAUAAUCAUACUUGCCUCAAGAGUCACCUCGGACACAUGUGGUUCACGAUGACUAAACUACGACAAUCACCACAUUGAUGAACCAAUGACAUACAAUGUAUCGAUAUACUAUAUUAUGGGAUUAAUUUCAGGAUUAGGUCCGACAAACAUAUCAAAUUAGUAUACAAAUACAUAGGAUCGAGGACCCCGAUCCAUCGCUUAUGAAGUCUCAUCAUUCUUUUUGGUGGUAGAACCAGACAUAUCCAUUAAUCAAUUACUUGAUUCAUUUGGAUAUUAAAGUUUAAGUUGUUUAACAAAUAAUCUAACAAUUUAAAUCAUUUCUUUGUAGAUAAUUCAAUAUCAAUGGAAGGAUGAUCUGAAACAGUACCAUAAAGCUACUUCUCAAAGCCCAAAAAAGAUAUAUGCAACUAUUCUUUCUUAAUUUAUAUUUUUUUGCUAAAAUUAUACUAAAUUUAUAUUUAUUUCCAACUUAAAAAUCCUAAUCUAGCUUUUUUUCUAUUUUUAAAAAAUUUCAAAGUUAUUUCCAACCAUAUUCCGUGUCAUCAGUACGCCCCACCAUACCAACACAUGAUAUGUCGGUAUCGAACGGUACAUAUCAUACCAUAGGCCAACCAACACAUCGGUUUAGAUCGAUAAAGUGAACCUUGAUUUCUAGGUCACCAAUUCAUGAUUUUUUGCUAAUUUCUUUGCCUUGAAUAACCUCUUCUGAAAUCCUUUGUAAACCUAGAUGGUUCUCCUUCAGUGGAAAGAACUUGAUCCCAAAGAGAAGUCUAUAAGGUACUGGUCCAAUAAGACUGGUGCAAAGUCACGACGUUCCUCCAAAGUAACCCAAGUAGCAUCGGAAGCUGGACGAUCACGUCACUUAAUAAGAAAGUACUAAGGGAUGAUAGUAGUAUAUGUAAUAAAGCGAUCAUCAAAAUGGUCUCUAUGUCAUCCCUGUAUUGUGGGAGAGUCAAUGCUUUAGGAGGACUAAAUAAGGCGAUCAUCAAGAAUAAACACUGAUAGAUAGAGGACAUUCAAAAAUACCAUGACUCUAAAUUGAAAACUAGACUCAACAUGCAAAUCAUGGAUAUGUUAAGCGAAGGAGUGGGCUAGUCCAGAGGCACGAUAAUUAAGUGGAAUGGGUGCAAAGUCAAUGGAUACAAGGAGUAUAGCCGAGGACAACUUCAAAUGGGCCUUUUUCCGGUGAAGCGGCUUGGUUAUUAUAUGCCACUGAUUUCAAUAGGCGCUCAGGCGCUCGCCUAAGCGCUCGGGCGAGGCGAGGCGAAGCACCCGACGCCUGGGCUCGGUCUCCGGUGCUUUAGUUGGUUCAAUCGAACCAACUAAAGCACCGAUAUUAGCUGUCGUUGCCCAACCCUAACCCUACUCGUGUUCACGCUACUACUGCUGCAGCUCGCUGCCGCUGUCACCACUCCUGCUCCCGCUGCUCACCGUUGCCGCUGUCGCCGCUCGCCACUCUCGCUGCUGCUGCUCACUUUUACCGCUGUCGCUGCACCCUCGGUCUUCCCUUACACACAUCUUUCUUCUCCUCUUUCGAAAGUAUACUGUUAACAGUAUACUUUAUACUGUUAACAAUAAUGUAUUUGUAUUUAUUAGAUUAAUAAUAUAUUAUUUUGAUUUUAAUACUGUUAAUUUUUAUUUAUUUGAAAUUAUUGUUAGGUUUCAGGAUAAAUGGCAAGUGUACAGAGCAACUCAAUAGAGUCUCCAAUGAUAUCAAAAAAAGAUCCUACAUGGAAGUAUAAUUAUAUGAAGAAUGCGAAAGAUCCUAAUGCAGUGACUUGCAUAUUUUGCGAUAAAACUAUUAGAAGUGGUAUUUUUCGUGCAAAACAACAUCUAGUAGGAAAUUUCAAGAAUGCAGCAGCUUGCAAAAAGUGUCCACCUGAGGUAAAAGAAGAGUUGCUGAGUUAUAUGAAUGAAAAGAAGACACAAAAGAAUAAAUUUUACGGGAAUUUACCAUAAGACAAUGUUGAACAUCUCAGGAAUGAAGAAGAAGAUUAUUCUAUAAGUAUUAACCCAAGUAGGAAAAAAGUAUACGACAAAAAAGGAAAAGAAGUUAUGAGUACUAAGAAGGAUAAAAAAGGACCGAUGGAUCUAUAUAUGUUUCAAGGAUCCCAGAAGCAACAAGGGCAAGCAGGAGGCUCAAAAUUUAGACAAACAAAUAUAAGUGAUGCUUGUGAUAAAGAAAUAAAAGGAAGAACAAUUAAGCACAUUGCUCGCUUCUUCUAUCAGGCUGAUCUUCCCCUUAGUACAACUCGUUUAGACAGUUUUAAGGAUAUGAUUGAAGCUAUUGGAAGAUAUGGUGCGGGAUUAAAACCUCCAAAUUAUUAUGAGAUGCGAGUUCCAUUAUUGCAAAAAGAGUUGAAUUAUACAAAUGACUUACUAAAGGGUCAUAAAGAAUCAUGGGCAACACAUGGUUGCUCUAUUAUGUCAGAUGUUUGAACUGACAGAAGGCGCAGGAGUAUAAUUAAUUUUAUGGUUAAUUGCUCUUUAGGGACUAUGUUUGUGAAGUCAAUAGAUGAUUCAUCUUUUGUAAAAUCUGGAGAUAAGAUAUAUAAUUUACUUGACAACUUCAUGGAAGAAAUUGGAGAACAAAAUGUCGUUCAAAUCAUAACCGACAAUGGAAGCAACUAUGUAUUAGCCGAUAAUAUUCUUCUUUUGAAUUUUUUAAUUAUUUUAUCUUCAAUUAAAUGUGUUAAAAUCUUAAGUCUUAUCAUUUUUGUUAUCCUUUGUCUCAGGUAAAUUGCUUGAAACAAAAAGACAACACUUAUAUUGGACUCCAUAUGCAGCACAUUGUAUUGAUUUAAUGUUGGAGGAUAUUGGAAAGAUCUUAGACAUCAAGAAAACCCUAGAAAGGACAAUUUUUGUUGUUAGUUUCUUUAUAAUCAUAUUGGGUCUUUGAAUAUGAUGGGAGAAUUUACAGGAAAUAAAGAAUUAGUGAGAUAUAGUGUCACCCAAUUUGCUACUUUAUUCUUGACAUUACAGAGCGUGCAUCGUCAAAAACAUAAUAUAAGAAACAUGUUUACCUCUGAGAAAUGGGUGACAAGCCAAUGGGCAAAAGAAGCAAAAGGCAAGAGGGCUAUUGAUAUCAUCUUAAUGUCAUCCUUUUGGAAUCAUGUAGUUUAUACAUUAAAGGAAAUGGGCCCUCUUGUUCAAGUCCUUUGGUUGGUGGAUAAUGAAAAUAAGCCUGCAAUGGGAUAUAUUUAUGAGGCUAUGGAUAGAGCAAAGGAGACGAUUAAAAGGUCUUUUAAUGAAAAUAAAGAAAAAUAUGAGAAAAUUUUUACAAUCAUUGAUGAAAGAUAGAAUUGUCAACUUCAUCGUCCCUUACAUGCAGCAGGAUAUUAUUUGAACCCUAAAUUCUAUUAUAAGAUUAAAUCUGUUGGGUUUGAUGCAGAAGUUUUGGAUGGGUUAUAUCAGUACGUUGCAAGAUUAGCUCCCAGCCUUAAGGUUCAAGAUAAUAUUAUUCAUGAAUUAUGUUUAUAUAAAAAUGCCGAAGGUCUUUUUGGAAUUCUAAUUGUCGUUCGAUCCAGGACAACUACGUCUCCAGGUAUUAAUAAUUUGAUAUAAUUAAUUUCAUAUAUAUUAUGUUACUGUAUUAUUGCUAAUAAUAACAUAAAUUUUGCAGUUGAACGGUGGAGUCUAUUUGAAAAUUUCACUCCGAACUUACAGCAAUUUGCUAUCAAAGUACUUAGUUUAACAUGUAGUGCUUCGGGUUGUAAGCGAAAUUGAAGUGUCUUUAAGCAUGGAAGGAUCACUAAAUAUUUUUGUUUUAAUUUAUUUAUUUAUUUAUUUAGAUAGAUGUAUUAAUAUAUUUUUAAAUUAUAUGACAUGAUAGAUUCACUCGAAGAGAAGAAAUCGGUUGGAACAUCAACAAUUGCACGAUCUUGUUUACAUAAAGUAUAAUCAAGCUUUGAAGGCUCGUCAUGAUUUGCAAAAUAAAAUUGAUUCAAUCUCAUUGUAAGAUAUUGAUGAUUCAAAUGAGUGGUUGGUAGGAGAAAUGGUUGCUAACUUGCAAGAUGCCGAAGACGAGCUUGUAUUUGAAGAUGAUAGAUUGACAUAGGGAGAUGUGGCAAGAGCUUCAGAUGCUGGAGAAUUACAAACAUAUACAAGACAGAUGACAAAAAGAAAAAUGAGUGUAAAAGCAUCAAGCUCGGCUCCUGCUAUUGUUGAAGACAUAGAGAAUGAAACAUAUUUUGAUGAAGAGGAAGGAGUCGAAGGAUAAGAAGAAGAGGACAAAUUCAAUGAAGAUGAUUUGUGUGAAAAUAACGAUAAUAUUGAUUAUGAUAAAAGACUUUUAUGUAAAAUUUUAUUGUUUUGAAUUUUGAAACUUUUUGGUAAUGUGACAUUGUGAUUUUGUAUCUUAGAUUUUCUUAAUUUAAUAGCAUAUUUUUAUUUAAAAUUUUAAAUAAUUAUAUUUAUUAAUUAUAUUAUAUAUUUUUAUAUUUUAGCGUCUCGCUUCGCUCGGGCGAGCGCCUAGCGCUUGGGGCGUUUUUGGACCUUGAAGCCUUUUGGCGCCUAGCGCUUUUUAAAUCACUGUUAUAUGCAAACUCUGUCAUAGGUAAGGUUAAGUCCCAGUUUUUCAGUUUCUCUCUAAUUAAACAUCUAAGAAGAUUUUCCAAAGAACAAAUAACAAUCUCAGUUUGACUAUCUAUUUAGGGUGAAUGGCUAAAGAGAACUUCAAUAUUGUGUCAAAUAGUUUUCACAAAAUUUUUAAAAAGUAGCUAACAAAUUUCACAUCCCUGUCUAACACUAUGGUCGAGGGAAAACCAUAUAACUUAACCACUUUAUGAAAGAACAAUUUAGCAAUGUAUAAGGCAUUGUUGGUCUUCUUACAUAGAUUAAAGUGGGUCAUUUUAUAAAAUCGAGCAACAACAACCAGAAUAGUCAUAGCCACGAGAUAUUUUGGGAAGUCCAAGAAAAAAAUCUAAACUCAUAUCUAGCCAUAAUGAGUACAGAAUGAGUAAUCAGGUAUAUAGGCCAGUAUUGUGCUUGCGAGUUUUGACAAUUUGACAAGUGUGACAAUGCGACACUAGUCGAGCAACAUCUCGCUUUAAGGAAGGCCAGUAAAAUCUAUCCUCAACUAAAUGCAAUGGUCUUGUUGCUCAAGUGACUCUUCAACCUCAUUCAUGGGUUGUUUUCAAUGCAUUGAAGAUCUCCCAGGACUUGGAUCAUUUGAUCAAACAACUAGUUCAACAUUGUGUCGUUAUAUACUAGUUUGGUCUUAUGGGUGUCUCCCUCAGUGUACUGGUCUUAGGAAUCAUCAAGAAUAGGUUGGUUUUCACCACGUCUAAUCAUGAUUCUAAUGCUAUCAACAAAUUGCCUUUUGAUAAUGAUGUUGUUAAUUGUUGCAAUGCACAAGAUAAAGGUGUAAUGAUUCAAGUUGUUCUCUCACCUUUUUUUUUAACAACUUUCUAGGUUUUAAAGUUCAAUACUACUCUUGUUAAAGUUGUGAGAGAAAAAGGGUGAUAAAUGAAAAAACAAAAAUGAGGGAAGAAGAGAUGAAGAAAAUCACGAUAUAAGGAAAUACAUAAUUUUUUGUAACAAUAAUAUUAGUGAAGUUUUCAAAAAAUUACCAAGCACCGAGAGCUAAGUGGUUCACCAAUUCCGUAGGAACAAUCACCCCAAAGUCCAACUCCAUACACAAGGGGUUGACGUUGGAGGUGCAAGGCUCUGAGUUUUGAUUAAAGCUUUUAUUACUAGUUGGGACCCAAUGGGGUGCAAGGCAGAUUUCUUGAUAUACUCUGACCAAAUUGAUGUAGAACAUAAAGAGAAAUAGAGAGAGAGAGAGGGAGAGAGAGAGAGAGAGGAGUGAGGUUAGAGAGGAGGGUAAGAGACUAGAGAGAGAAUAUGCAAAUAUUUUUCAGUCAUAUUUGAAGUGUUUCGUCCAUUGACAAGCUCCACUAUCUAUAAGGGUUUUGGAGUCUUAGUACAAUCAAUAAAGACAAUAAUUUUCAGGAGUAACCUCCUAGGGAACUUGUAUGUAUUUUAGAAACCCAAAAUGUAACUUCUAUGAGACCUCAAUAGCUUUAAAGAAAUUAUCACAGUUGAAAGUUUUCACAGCUGAGAAGUAAAAAAGUAAACUUAAUACAAGAGUGCACUUAGUACAAAAGUACAAUCCCAAGGUUAACACCUAAAAAGACCAAAAGACUUCAAUUUUUCACACAACUCUUAGCGUUUCUAGGUUACUAAUUCAUGAUUUUUUGCUGAUUUCUUUGCCUCAAAUAACCUCUUCUGAAAUCAUUUAUAAACCUAGAUGGUUCUCCAUCAACACCAAUCAACAAAAAUGUUGAUGUUGUUUUUGAAAAGAGAACAAUAUGAAAAAGUUGAGCCAAAUAUUACUACCUUCAAGCUGUAAAUAGAAAGAAAAGAUGCCAUUUCAACAGUAAAAAAGAUAAACAUUUGGUAUGCAACUCAGUUGAAAACAAAAUGAAAAACCUUCUUUUAUCAAACUGCAUCCAUCAUGCAUCUCUAGUCUACAAAAAUCAUCACUUAUUAAAUAAAGCCCCAUUAAAAUGUCAUAAUUCUAACCAAGGUUCGCCGUUCCGUAUCAUACCGGUGUUUCGACCCGGGCUCGGUAUGGUACGGUACCGGUGUACCGAGCGGUACACCCUGGUGUACCGAAUAAUUUUAUAUAUUUUCAUACUGUAGCAGUGCUACAGUGUAGUACUGUAGUACUGUAGCAGUACCGGGCGGUCCGCGUACCGAUAACCUGUCGGACCAGUAUGUACCGCCUGGUACAGGCAGUACGCUUCGGUAUGGCAGACCUUGAUUCUAACCAAGGAUUGUCUUUUUUGGGUACCUAACCUGUUUCGGCAAUAUGUCGGACCGGUACAUACUUGUCUACCGACAAAUACACCGGUGCAUACCGAUGUUUCGACAAGGAACAAAAAAAGCAUGAAGAGGAAGUGGCGAUAGAGGAACAAAGGAGGAAGGAGAAAGGGAGAAGGAAGAAGAGGAAGCAGUGGAGUAAGAAGAAGAAGGAAGACGAAGAAAGGAAGGAGAAGAAGCAACAAUAGUGUACCUAGGAAGCAGCAACAUUGCAGAAGCAAAGCGGAAGUCGCAACGGCGAGGGCAGCACCAUCGUAUGCGAGAAUAGGGCUCACGUUCGUGAUCCCUUUUUUAAUGCUGAGUUGGAUAGGGGCUCACUACUUUUUUAUUUUUUUAUUUUAAUCGGAUCGCUCGAAAUGGGGGUGGUCCACGUAUCGGCCCACUCUCAAACCAGUAUGUACCACCCAUACCAUACCAUUUCGAGCAGUACAAUAGUCUAUGAUUCUAACUGAACUAAGAAUGCUAAAUCUAUGAAACAAUUUCUCUCUUAAAAGAUGUAAAAUUCUGUAAAAUAACUAUAAGGAGACAUCUGCCUUCCUGAAUUAUGUUCUUGAUGAUAAUGAUUUUUUUAAUCCAGUACUUACCUACAAUAUAACUUGUAAACGAAGAUAUAGGUAAAUUAGCAUCCUUGAUGGCCUUUAAAUUAGUUGAUAAAAAUAUGAACAUAAAUCAUCUGGAAAACAAAAGGCACAGAAAAGAACUGCAUAGCUCAACUUGAAACAAGUUGAAAACACGAUAGGAUCUCAGCUCAGUUCAGUUUCAUGUAAUCAAACUGAAAGCCAAGAAUAAUGGUUGACACCAUGAUGACAGCCUUCUUUCCAGUGACACUAACUAUAGAGAAACUAAUCAUCUUAGUUGCACAUCUGAAAAAUUGUUUCCACCAAGAUGUGUGUGUGUAUAUAUACACACCAAGAUGUGUGUGUGUGUGUGUGCAUAUAACAAUUAUGCUUUGCAAUUGAAAAGGUUCAAUGAAUCCAGGGAUUUCUUGUUAAAGGGAAUUCAAUAAAUUUCAUUGUCUUAAUGAGACAGCCAUGAUAUUCUGCUCAUCAUCGCAGCCGAAAAUGCACUUGAUUUAUGUUACUAAUAAUUUAAGGAAAUAAUUUUUUCGAAAAACAUCAUGAAGGAGAGAAAGAGAUAUCAUAAAAGAGAACUAUCAAAAGAAAAGGAAAAAAGGAAAAGUGCAUGCAAGUAAAUUAGUUCAACAAUAGCCGUUAUCCCAACCAGUUGGGGUUGACAACAUGUAUCUCUUGCCACCAUUUUUGGUCCAAUUUUAUCAUAUGAUGGCCUAGCCUUGCUUUGAAAUCAGUGUUGGUACCAUUUUCAUAAUUUGACAAAGCUUUAUGUUUGCUAUUAGUUGCCUAAAGCAAUCCUUCUUUCCCUGAGAGGGACUACCACUGAAGUAUUUUCAAAUGUCGUAUGUGCAAGAUGCAAACAUACAGAGAACCUAUUAAGUGAUUUUUCUCAAAGAAGUUUAACAAACAUUAUGCAAUUAAAUUCUAACAAAAACUUCAAUUCUAAAUUUCUGUGGGCUACCCUAUCCGUUAAUGAAUGGCAUUAUGCAAAGAUAUUCUAACCUUCUUGAUCAACACCUCAGACUUCAGGAUAUAGUAUCACAACAUAAAUUAGCAUAAGCCAAAUAUAACUCCAAUGUCCCUUCAAAAAUCUACAAUGUCAAGACUAACCACUCAUGUUUAAGAGAAAUAUUGUCUUUAUUUUUUCUAUAGUGAAUUAGGUCUUCUUGAUAAUGGAAAUCAUCCAAGGAAGCCUCUGGUAUAUCGGCAGAGACCUAUUGUUGACUCAACAUUAUUUGGCCUUCACAAUAUACUAUUAGGAAGUCAUUCAUAAUAACAAUCUCACAAGAUGACAAAAAUUCUGUCAACUGUGCCUACUUAGAUACUAAAACUUAUGAUGCUUCAAAACAUUAGAACUUUUGUGGGGUCUGUAAACUUUCAAAUAUUACUGAGAAAUUCAAUACAUACAAUUAUUUAUAAGGACAACAUAUUCUUUUCAUCAGGUAAAUGAUAAACAAGAUCAAUUAUACAUUGGGAUCCAGCAUAUCACAUACCGAUGAACUAAACUUAUCCACGAUCAUCUCGAGAACAUCAGUAUCUUCCACACACUGCAUUGUAUCCAUGUAGCCGAAUUGCAUAUUCUCAUCAGCACCAAUCAAUCGAAUGAGAACCUGCUUCACAUUGCCAAUUUCAGAACUAGUUGAAAAAAAAAAGACAGAAAUGCUAAGGACCAGUAUGUUUGUAGAUUUGCAUAUCAACACAAGAACAAACAUAAUGAAACCAUGAACUGCUAACCUCCAUAAUAGAUGUGAUUCCAAUGAGAUCCACAAGUUGAUGAAUUAUUUCUCGAUGACCCUAGACAAUAACAAGAGAAGUAAAUGCAAACCCUCAUUAAUGCAAGUGAUAACAGAAAAGAGGACACCGUAGAACUUUAGCAAAUAACAAACAUUAAUAGUUGAUAUCCAACAGAAACCAGAUUAUAAAGCUUGAAGCAUCUAUAAAACAACUCCAAGAAAGUGCAGAUAAAGCGCAGUAGGAAAAACCAGUGCAAAUCAUCUUCCACACAAGACCUUAAUGCUCAACAUCUAGUGAUGAAGUCAAUCAUUCAACUUUAUGUUUUUCAUAAAAAGAUGGGAGAAUUCAUACAAAUGUUCUCUCAUUUUGAUGGACCAACUGACAAUUUGACCAACCAUAUUCAGCAGUUAAUGCAAAGCAAGCAUAAAUAUUUUUUUCACCAUUUCCAUAAGACCAUAUGAGAAUGAAGGCUAAUCAGCUUCCUCUUAUUCAUGGCUACUGUGCAUACCAACAAAAAACAAUGGAAUUCAAAUUCUCAGAAUCCCUCUUAUACAGUCAUGUUAAGAACACAAAACAAAACUCCAUGACAAAGAAAACUUAAUACCAUCUUGGUAGAGGCUAAUUGAACAAAAAGAAUCAAAACAGAGAAAUUUUAAUUUUUUUGCUUUACCACGUGAACAUCACAAACCUGAACAUAAUUAAGAAGAGGGCCUGCUUUCCGCAUCAUUAGGCAUAUCACAACCUUGCCAAACAACAUAAAAUUUGCAAUACUAGGUGUUAGACACAAAGAAAAGCUUGAAAAUGCUGAGAAAUCACUUGUAACAUUAGUUGUCUUAUAUAAAAAGUUCCAGUGAUUACCUUACUGAAGUAACCAGCUAGCAAUGUACUAUGUGGGUGAUCAGGCUUAAGGAAGGAGAAUAACAAAUCCAGAAGCUGAAACAAGAGAAAAAAGGUGCAAUCUAGAAAAGAGUGGUCAUGUUUAAUCAUACAUAAGCUGUUAGGAGUUUCAUAGAGACAUUUACUUGUACAUCCUCAACUAAAGCCCUCAAUAUGAUAUCAACAUCACAGGUAAAUAUCUCACAUGCAAUAAACGGAAACCUGUAUAAAGACAAGUUUCAACAAAUAAGUCGAGUGGCAAAGUAUUCAAACAAUAUCUCAGAAGACAAAAAAAAUCAUAGCUCACUUGAAAAUAUUCUUCUUAUCAGCAUCCUCAGGCGGCUCCUCUAUAAUAUAACGAAGUAAUUGCUCCAAUUGGGCCUUUCCUCUCAAACUGCAUAUGAGGAUAGCAAAAUAAUAAACGACGAAUAAAGCAUUGCAAAGAGAUCAAAACAAAAUUGCAAAUUACAGAGACGCCUAUGUUCAGAUUCGGCAUUAACAAAAAAGGUUGAAUACAAGGAGAUGUCCAAAAAUUAAUUACAAUAUUUAUGUCACAUAUUUACUUUAUUAAAUAGAAACGAUUACAAUAUAAAAUAAAUUAAAAAACAAGAUAUAUUAUGAUUGCUUCAUAUUUCAAAAUUAACAUAAUUUGCUCAGUGCUUGUUUCUUGCAAAGGAAAAGCGGAUAGGCCAUUCCAACAUCAAAUAUAAUAAGCAUUGAGGCAUCUGGCACUCCAACAAAUAGGUGGCAUCCAAAGAUGCAUCUAAAGAGAUUCUUUUUAAUUGACAUGAGAGGAUCUAUAAGCUUACUAAGAUACAUAAUACUUACUCCCCUCCUUACACAGAGAUGGCAGUUUAUCCUUUUUUAUCAGUAAGUAAAAAACAUUUUAUUGCUUAAAACAAAAAGAAAGCAUACAUUUCAUCUAUAUGCUUGUUUACUAAGAUACACAAUGUUUGUUCCCCUCCCUAUUACAGAUAUGGCAAUUUAUCUCUUUUUUAUCAGUAAGUAGCUUAUUGCCUAAAACUAAAAUUUUCAUUCUAUAGAAUUGAGUAAGACAAGAAACAAACUAACCAGUAACACUUGAAGCUAUAUAACAAUUAUAUCAUAGAAAACCUAAGAUCAUGAAGUUGCAUUGCCUUCCUUACUUCUACGUACUAGUUCAGCAGUAGAAAAAUUAAGAGAUAGGAGAAAGAAGUCCAAAAGUUACCAAGAGAUUCAAUUUCAUCUGGUCAGGUCUGUACUUACCAGACCUGACCAGACGAAACUACCAGUAUUUACUAGACCAGGUAUGAACCAAGACGUGGACCACCCCAUUUUGGAUGAUCCGUUCUGUUCAUUUUGUUAGAUGUUAGGCUGGAACUUUUUUCUUUUAGAAGGCUCCAACACUAAACCAGAUGCCUUUUAGGGCUAGCGAGAAUAAGCGAGCCUGUUCUCCCUCUCCGCACUGUCGCACAACCACCAUGGCCCGCCCAUCGUCACCCAUUGCCUACCACUCACCUCAUCUCCUACAUUUCUCUUUCUCCUCCUUAUCCCUUCUUCUCCCUUCUUCCUCCUACCCCCCCCCCCCAACAGAACGCUACCACAGUUCAUGCCGACAUACAAUGUAUUGAUAUGUUUGCAUAUAUUGGACCCGUACCACUCUAGCUAUCAACCGGUAUGGGUUUGGUACCCAAAAUUUCAUUCCUUGUUGCAUGGUAUAUAUCUACGUACCUCCAAAACACAUGUACAGCUCAGUAUUUCUAGGAAUGGGUGAUAUAUUAGAACACAAUUGACAUAUAAGAAAGCAAGCAAACAAAUAACAAACAAAGAGGAAACAAAAUAUUACCAUUGAAGGUGCUUGAUUGAUUACCAUUAAAAAAAGGUGUUUGAAGGCUAGUUUUUCUAGUAAACCAACCACAAUUUGUACCGGCUGAUAGCCAACAUGUACGUGAACCAAUCAAUUUCACCAAUCUAGCCCAGAAGAAAGCUAGCCACUACAUAAACUCAACAUGUAAGGGUAUCACCAAGCACCAAUAUCGAGGUUUUUCUCCCAGUACCAGUAUUGAGUUCUUUUCCUAUUUUUCUCUGUUUUUUAUAAUAUCAACAGCAUUUUUUUAGGUUCCUCUCUCUCUCUCUCUCUUCCUUUUGUUUCCUCUGUAGCCUUGCCUCCUUUUCUUCUUUUCCUCCUCCUCCAUUACCACUACCACCACCACCACCACCUCCUCUUCUUCUUCCUCCUAUGCCACCACCUCCUCCACCACCACAUCCUCUCAAUCCCUCCCUCCUCAUCACCAACCAGACACAGCAUCAACGUGUAUGCCUGCUGACACAUAGGACACCCAGUGGCACCAAUACAAAUAAUAGUAUGCCCAAGGACCACUUUCAGCACUAGACAGAUUUGUAACCUCGCUCAACUGUCCUUAUCAUUAAAUUUCCUACUGUCCCUCUUGUUUCUCUUCCUUGCUCCUCCUCAUCGACAUUCAUUCCCACUUCUUGUCUUCCUUUCCUUCCUACAACAGUGAUGAAUCGCCCAUAUUUGGCCAACUCUAGCUUAUUGGUAUGAGUCAAUCUAAGUUUGAAAAGGACUUGUAGAGAGAGAGAACAGAUAGCACUGACAACAAUGAGGACUUCAAAACCAAACCUAUGAUCGUAACAACCAAUAUUACCAGACUGAUCUCAUACUACUCGAGGUCGACUUAAUAGAUCUGUUUCCCACCUUUAAAAACUACUGAGGCCAAUAUAACUAGAAAAUGAAGAAAACCUAAUACAUAUAAUAGAUACAUUUUUAUAUUUUAAAAUAUUCAAUUUUAAAUAUAAUGAUUAUCUCAAGCUCGAGUCUCCAGGAAUGAAUGAAAAAACAAAAAAAAAGAAGAUUGUGACUUUGGAUAGUGACUCCAGAAUUUCAUUUAGACUCCUAACAAUCUGUUUAGGCAUAGAACUUUUAAAUUGCAUAAUUUCCACAUUUUUCUUCUGUUGUUAUUUUUCAAUGUGAUGAGACAAUUGGUGUUCCAGUGUAUGAAUGUAUAAAUCAAUAUUUAAAGCAUUUAAACGACCUUAUGGUUUAUUAUAUUUGUGCGGUCAAUUGUUCUCAAACCAAAACAGGUCAAUUACUAGUUUGAUUCUUGCAUUCUUUUUAUAUGCAUUUAUGUUUUCUUGAAUUGUUUGAGACAGUGUGCAUAGUUUUUUUUAUUUCUUUUCUUCUAGACUUUCUUUGGCCCUGUAGAAGGAUGCAUCACCAAACGUUGGUAUAUUUAUUCACAUUCAGUCAAAAUAUUGAAGAUAAUUUUCCACAUUUUACAUUUAAUUGGGUUAGUAGCAGUCAGGUUUGUCGCUCAUUCAAAGCUAGCUAACUAAUGGAUAAAUAAUUUAAUACUAUAGAAAAGGAUACACCAAAAUUUUCAGCAUCCUUUUUAGUUUUUAGUACCAUAUCUCAUUCAGUGCUAGCUAACUAAGAAAAUUUAAAGUUCUUCCUAUAAGAUCGUUAUCUCAACAUGUAAAAGCAAAUGAUUAGAAGCAAAUAUGUAUAUUCUUAAACAUAGACCAAAAAGCCAAUACUAGAGUAAAACAAACUAUUACAAAUUUAAAAGACGAGUAUUCAGUGCUUUGCAUUCUUGGAUUAUUUCAUCCUCAUCAAGAAGAUCUUCCAAGGUAAAGUUUUCCUUCUCCAAAAUAGCGUCUACCUGAAACAAAGCUGGAACCAGUAUUAAAAAAUGCAUUUUGUAUUAUACGCAUUAUAUAAACUAAUAAUGACAAUGCUUAUGAAGGGAAGAAACAGCAAAUAUUUUCGCAAUCAUAAGUAACAAUAUACAAAAAUUUCCCGUGGUGACAAAUGGUAACACAACGCGCAACCCAAAAUUCGGACGAACAAAACCCCAAUCCCAUCCAAGAAGGUGAAAGAAUAAGAAAUCGAAUCCAGUAAGAGCGUAAAGACUCACGGGAGACGCUUGACUCAGUCCGGUCAUGCGCCAGAACAUCCUGACGGCCCCCGAUCGAAAGAUCCCAAGCGCGCCUCGGGCGCCCCAACUGCCAGAUCUAGGGUUCCGGGGACCGGAACCCUCGCCAAUUGGCUCCAAGAAAACCCUAUGGGGGGGAACAGAACCCUAGGAUCCCCGAUCCGCUCUUCCUCGGGCGGCUUCUUGAAGGCGAAACAGAUCGAUGGUCGGAGGAAAACGCGCUUCAAAGAAGGAACGCGCAGCGAAUUGGCCGGCGAUUGGGAAUGGGAGGGCUCAAAGGGAUCGAUCUCGAGGAGGGUUUGAGGGAAGAACGAGAUGAGGAGGGCAGAGGAGAGGGAGGGAGAAGGGAAAUGGGCGAGCCCUUCAAUCGCGGGAGACGAAAGAAGGAGAUCGUUAGGCCUACGGUUUGCUUAAAUACGGCCCCCUGGCGAGUGCUUCCAACUAUUUCGGGAGAUAAAUUAGUUUCUUUUUUAUUUAUUAUUGUAUAUAUAUUGUAUUUUUUAUAUCCUUCAAAUUUUUGAAAAUAAUCAUUUAUAUAACUUUGGUUAACAUCCAUCUAUAAAAUUGGCAACAUAACAUCUAAAAUAAAAUAUUCUUCUCAUUAAUACACAUGAUAAUUCAUAAUUUAUGGUAGUCAAAUAAUUCUUGAGGCUUUUGAUCGGAUGAAUUUUGACCCGUACGAGUUUUAUGACUCAUUUGAGCAGGAUUUCAAUGAUCAAAAUCUUUUUAAACUUCAAAAAGACUUAUUUUAACUUAGGCAUCAUGCCUCAUCCCAAAUAAAAUAUUUGGAUCGCAUCAUCACAGUGCAACAAAUGGAUCGAUGCAUGAUGUAUUGACUAAUUUAUAUUGCAUGAACAAACACGGAACUUGUAAUUAAUUAAUUAAUUCCUUCCAAAAAAUAUUCUUACGAAAAAUAAUGAUCAAGUUAGCUUUAUAUCAACAACCAAAAUGGGCGUAGCAAACUCUCAAAUUAUUUGUUUGCUUAUCUUAAUUACUAGUUCAUAGGCCAACCAUUAUCAUGCUCAAUUUAAUUUGGUCAAAUUCCAGUCAAUAUAGCUUCCAAUUUGUGAUAUCAUUUGAGCUACCUUGAAGGUUAAUUAUGAUCGUUCUUCUAAUUGAGAUCCACCGUCGUUUUGGAUGUGAUCUUUAUUAGUUAUAAUGAUCAAAGACUAACUAUGGUACUGUGAAGGCAGAUCUUGAUCAUUCAUACUACAUAAGAAAACAAUUAUAGUCAUCUAUUUAUUUUGUGGCCAUGCAUAAAUUUUGGAGCAUUUUGAUAUAAUUUCCUGCUAGUUUAGACCCAAUAUAACUAUUUUGAUAUCAUUUCUCAUCAAGUUAAUUAAAAUUUUAACUUGAGUGAGUUGGUUGUGAAAACAAGUUUAAAAGACCAAAAAUAAAUUUAAUUAUGCUAUUUUAACUUUGUGUGGAGAAAAAUCAUUUAAAUUUGUUUUGAAUUUAAAAUCAGAUUUUUUUUAAUUUAAGAAUAUUUUCCAUGUUUAACCAAAACUGGGAUGUUAUGGACUGGUGAAAAGAAAUUCUUUUUUGAAGAAAUUAUAAUAUUUGUUUCUUGAACAUGUCAUAAUGGAAUAUAACCACAAACCUCUCAUAAUUGUUAGGCUUUGGCUGAAAUUAUAGAUAUUGUGGUUAGAAGAGGUGAGACAAUUGAAUUAGUAUUAGUAGUAUGAGGAUAGGUAGAGAAACAUAUAAAAGUUUUACUAGAAACUAUAUAUGAGGAUCUAUAUGAUUCUAAAUUGACUAAAAAUAUUAUUUUAUGUUGAACUUAAUGAUAACUCCAAUUUGUAUGUGCAAAGCAAAGAGAUGGAGAACAAAUGUAGUGCUGAAGGGGAUGAGAGAAGAACCAUAACAAAGAAAUGCAAGCAGAAGAUUUGUGGAUUGAUUUGGACAAAGAUCAAAUAACCAAGUUGUGUCUCUACUUUAGCCAUUGGGUGUAUGUUCUUAAGCAGCUUGCUGUUUCCUUUCAUCUCGAAACAAAUGAUCUAUUAUACAUCCUACUGAUUCAUCAGAAAUGAACACAAGUGUUCCCUUUUUUAUCCAAAACAUCUUCCAACUUCUCUUGCAAAAGUGAUAUUGGGAUGAAAAGAUAUUAAUCCAAGUGAUGAAAAUUUCUUUUGUCUUCAGGCUUAUUGAUCUUACUAGAACAUUAGAUUAAACUUGCUGUGAUGAACUGAUGUCUGAAACAGUUAAUUAGGCCAUCCAAAAUAAGCUGCAUACAAUAAAGAAAAUAACAGAAGUGUUGCAGAAUUAGUUCCAACAGAUUAAUGCAUACUUUUGAUCAAUGAUUGUUAUAUCUUCAUAUAUUAUCAACAAGCAAAACCCUUAUUCUGGCAUUUCUCUGAACUAGGAAAUAUAUAUUUGUAUAUUAACACAUAUUUUUUACCUGUACAAAUGGACAACAAUGCUGUUCAACCUGCGGAAUUCCUUAGACAAAUAUAUACCAAGGAUUCAUACACUGAUUCUGAUUCUGAUUCUGAUCCUAGUCAUAGAGGAGAGAGGAUUGGAGUAGAUAAAGAGGGAGUUACAAAGAUUUCAAGACACCACACCUUCUUCAACAACCAGCAUGAACAUGAAAGCUUGAGUGUUUCAGACACCACACCUUCUUCAACAACCAGACCAUGGACCAGUAAUGUAUGUAGAUUUUUCCUCUUUAUUCUUUUUGUUAUAGAUACUGUUUGCAUUUUCUUGAAUGAAGCAGAACAACUGCUGCGGAACCAAUUGAAUAAUGAGAUAAUUGAAUUAACCUUGUUAUAUGAGAUAAUUGAAUUAAAUAAUUUAAUAAUGAGAUAAAAAAAAACCUUGUUAUAUGUCUUACAUCAACAAUAAUGAGAUAAUUGAAUUGAAUAGAUUGAUAAUGAUUGGUGAGGAUGUAUAUCCUGUCGGAUGCUUUUAAGGUAUACUCUAUAGUUAUUGUAUAGGUUGUAUGUAACAAAAUAACAAAUAAUAUGAACACUAAGUCAUGAAAACCCGUUGCCUCCGUUUAUUGAAAUCUUUCUCUUAUUGCUUCUAUCUUCUUCAACAGAUCUGCGGCCUUUACAUCGGUGCAACCUAACUAUCACGUCAUUGACUGCAUUCCGAAGCAUCAUCCAAAUAUCCAAUCCACCUGCAGCAACUUGAAGAACCCCUCAAUGCUUCAAACACUCGACAGCCUCACAUGCAAGAUUGCAAACCUGGCUUUGGAUGCUUCGAGGAGAACGAUUAGCUGAACAAGUUGGCAACCCUCAAUAAUUUGUCUUCCCUGACGGAGCCCCCUUGCAGAGAUGUUUGACAGGAAAUGGCAGAUCUCACUGUGCUAAUGGAGAUACAGAUGAUAGUCCACUCCAUUUUGCCCUGGUCCUAUUUGUGCAUCGCAUGUGAGAGCAAUAAAUGCCAAACACUGUGGAUUUGUAUGAAGCUGCAGCAGAAAUCAAUUGUCCUCCCUCAUGAGUUCAUGUCUUUUUCAUGGAAAACAUCAUCCAACAUCAGAUGUGUAUUUUAACUUUGAGUUCCCCCUCAUCAAAGCACUCUGACGUCAAUAAGAAAUGCCAAUAUGAUACAAUAAACUCUCAGAAAAAUGCUGCGUAUAUAAUCCUUGCCUGCCAGUGAUAUCUAUGAUCCACCAUUUGGCUCAUUCCAAGCAUGUAGAAGCAUGACCACGUGAUAUCAUACCCCACAUGAAUCACAGGUCACAAAAAUUGAUGUGCAUCAGAAAUAAACAAAUCAUUCUCAUCAUUACACUGUUAGUUUCUGUAGCUCUUUCCCUAUUAAUAAAAUCAACCUUGAUAAAUUGAAUGACCAAUAAUACAUCAUCACCUUACGGUGGAGAAUGAUUUAAACAUGUUUGGGUGUAUUGUACGAACAAGAAAAACCUGAAGCUUGAAGGUCCUGUGAAGAUUCAAGCUCACAAGUCAUCAGAGUUUUUCUUUUGGUCUGCCACAGUACAGCCUGUUUCUGCAUCCGCGUGGAGCUGAGGAGCAACUCGCCAUGAUAUAAAAUCGGCGGAGGUGUUGUCAUCUGCAGGUAAACAGGUCCGGAGGCUGCAAGUGGUUCGGCUUGACGUAGCAAGCAGUGGCUUUUUGUUCUUCCAUGGCCAGUACGGAUGACCUCAAACCCUGGACGAGGAGGAAGACGACCUUCCGCUUGCACUUAUCUGACACAAGACUCACACACGCAGAAUACAAUCAUAAAGAGGUGUGGGGGGAUUCGAUAAAUCAAAUAAAUAUAUAUGUGAAUCAUCAUCACAUGAAUCAGAAACAUUAGUAGAGGGGGAUUCCAUUAUAAUCUUCUCGAGUCAUGCUAAAUAACACGGUGGAGCAGCCAUGCUACUGAGUGCCGUGCUCGUCUCGUUGGUGAGUUCCGACCGGUGCGCGUGGCCCACGUGUCCCGACUCGUCGCGCCAACCACGUGCGACUCGGCCGCGUCCCACCUCGCUGCGACAACAUCUGUGGCCCGGGCCCAUCGCAUCAGAACCGUCCGUCGGCGUGGCCGUGAACGCACUCCGGCGCUCCCUAAUUCGCCCACGUGGCGACGUUUUGUUCUUCCCCCCUCGCUCCUCGCCGAGAAUACCGCGUGCCGUCUGUCUCUGACGCCAGCCGUCCAUCCUUUGAUAAGCAUGAAUCGAGAGGUCCCGCCGUGCCGAUUGAUCGCGGGGACCAACGCGACCUCGGUAAGCUGCGCUAGUAAUGCUAGCGUGUGCCGGUCCGCCUCCCGCCUAUAAAGGGACCGCGACCUACUCGUCAAUGCGAUGGUCGUCUACCCGUCCAGGUCGGCUUAAUCGGCUCGCCGUUGACAGGACCUGGGUGGAAAAAAAGUGGUUGGUGGUUAUAUUUUUCCGGUGUAGUACACAGAAAGAUGUCGUCGUCGGCGGCUUGGAUGGAGCCGAGCUUGGACGUGGACAAGCUGAGCCACGAGAUCUUCUCGAUACUGGAGAGCAAGUUCCUCUUCGGAUACGACGAGCCCAAGCUCUUCCUCCCCUCCACUCCCGCCACCAUCGCGGCAGCCGGCAGGGUUCGCGUCCUCUCCAUCGACGCGGCCGACGGUGCCCUCGCCGGCGCCGCACUCGUCCGCCUCGAGGCCUCUGUCCGCAAGCAGUGCGGCGACCCCGCCGCCCGCGUCGCCGACUUCUUCGACCUCGCUGCCGGAUCCGGCGCUGGGGGCGUCCUCUCGGCCCUCCUCUUCACCCGCGGCCCCGACGGUCGGCCACUCUUCUCAGCCGCCGAGGCCCUCCGACUCCUCACCAAGCACCGCCACCGCCUCUCCUCCGGGGCCCAGCGGAAGGGUAUCCUGCGUGGCAUCCUCGGCCGGUCGGGCGGAUUGUUCCGGCGUGUGUUUGGGGACGCAACGUUGCGGGACACCCUCAAGCCGGUGCUCAUCCCGUGCUAUGACCUGGCGACGGCGGCACCCUUCGUGUUCUCGCGGGCAGACGCCGUGGAGGCGGACGGCUACGACUUCCGGAUGGGGGAGGUGUGCGCCGCCACGUGCGCGGACUCGUUGGCCGGGGCGGCGCCGGUGGACAUGCACUCGGUGGACGGGCGGACGCGGAUCCGGGCGGUCGGUGGCAGGCUGGUGAUGUGGAAUCCCACGGCGGUCGCCAUCACCCACGUGCUCAACAACCGUCAGGAGUUCCCCGCCGCCGCCGGGGUGGAGGACCUCCUCGUGGUUUCACUCGGCGGCGCGGAUUCCGCGGCCUCACCCGGGAAGGCAGUGCGCAGGCCGACGUCGGCGGCGGAACUCGCGAGGAUCGCAGGCAGUGCGCAGGCCGACGUCGUAAGGACUCGCCACUUAAUCCAGCGUUAUUUCUUAGUCGCAGUAAGGCACAGCAUCGCAUAAAGACUAAACUAUCCUUCACAAAGGUCGCUUGUGACAGUGUAGUGUUGGGCACUUCGGUUAUUUGCUGUAAUCAUUAAACUAUUCUCCUGUUCAUGGCAGGUCGAUCAAGCGGUGGCGAUGGCGUUUGGGGAGAACUGGGCGACGAACUACGUACGGAUCCAGGUAUGGAGUAGGGAACUCAGAUUUACCUAAACACCCCUAUCAGGGGGCGCUAACUUUGGCGUUCCCUGCGGUGGGUUUCGCAGGGACACGUGGCGGUGCCGGUGACGACAGCAGCGGCGGAGGCGGCGCUGGCGGACAGGGGCGUGGACUCGGCGCUGUUCCGGGGCAGGAAGCUGUCGGAGCGGACCAACGGGGAGAAGCUGGACCUCUUCGCGGCGGAGCUGAUCAGGGAGCACGACCGGCGGCGGAAGCGCGGCGACGCCCCGACGGUGGCGAUCAAGCCCUCGACGCCGCCCUCUCCGUGCUCCUCAGAGUCGACAACAUGGCCUACAAUCCUUCUCCCUGUUCAAGAACUCAGAAAUUAAAUAGGAAAACUAAAUAGAAAAUUUAUAAUACUUCUGUAAGAGAAAACCUUUUCUUUCAAUUUUGUAGAAUGUAAUUAUGGUCGUAGCGUGAUUUUUUUUAGUUUAUUAUAAUUUCAUAUGAUCCAGAGCAAGAUUAUGCAUGUGGAUACUUGGUGAUGGAAGUGAGUGUCGGAUCGAGUUGAGUUUAAGACUCGGUCUUCUCCCUCAGCAGUGGUUCGUUUUUUCGUCGUUAGGCUCCUACACGUAGAUCGAGGUUAGGAGGAGAAUUUUCAACUCGAUCAAAGGUUAAGUUAGUGUUGUGUGAAGUAAGAGGGAGUUGAAUGCUCAAAAUUCUCCCCCUGACGUUGAUCAAGGGGUCGACUGUUAUACCUGCGAAUAAAGGUUGAUCGUACGUGAUCUUUUAAUGGUGACCGACUUCUCAAGCAACUGACUUGUACCUUCUAUGAGAGUGUCGACCGACCUGCAUGGAUUCGCACAGCGUGACGCCGUUUCAAGCUUUCGGAAAUAGCUUUAUGCUAUGCGAUGUCAUCUCGUACGAUCUCAGAUAAUGUAAGAACGAGCACCCGUCCCAUUCAAGUUCAAGAUGUCAUGUCGACACAAUAUAUCAUAUUAGUCCUGAGGCUCCACAUUGGUACUGACAUGACGGCUAUUAUUGCUAAGGGUGAUACCAAAAUAUGCCUUAUCAAUUUGUAAUUUCAUAUAAUCCAUACAUUGUUAAUUCAUACAUGUAUAAGAUUAUCCAAAAUUUUGCAGAUAUCUAUAAUAUUAUGAUUAUAUGAAAGGGAAUAUACGAAAAUUAUCAUUCUUUUGUGAGUAGCAAAUUGGUAUACCAAAGACUAAUGUGCUAUUAUUAUACACUUUAUCUUACCCUGUUUAAUUGGAGUCUGAAAUAUAUUUAGACAGAAGACUCUACGUCGAGUGGGAUUACCACUUGAUGUUUCCAAAACAAAACUAGUAUUUUUAGAAUUUAUCAAUAUAUUUAAAUAAUAUUUAAUAUGUCAUGACAAAAUAUAAUUAUCCCAGCUAAGGUUCCCUCCUAAGUUCAUCUCAAGUUAAGGUAUCAAAAGUUUGGAUGGUUAAGUCUAGACCUUAUAUAAUUUUGUUGCAAUGUAUCGACAAAGUCCAUUUAAUAUUUAAAUUAGUAUAGAUUUAAAAGUUCGAUCAAAUAUCGAAUUAAAAAAUGAUAAUUAAUCAAUGUCUUGAAAUGAUACUUAAAAUAUUUUAUAAUGUAUAUGCGUCAGAGUUGAGAUUAAGAUUAAUAUUGAAAAUACUUAUCAAUUUAAGAGAUAUGGUCAUUAUGAUCAUUAAAUCAUGUAUAUGCACACCAUCCCAAUAUCAAUAUGGUCAUUAAAUUGUGUAUCAAAUCUAAGAAAUACGAAGCAACAGUUUAUCGAGUUAGUUUUUACCGUCAACACUACAUGAUACCGAAUGGAUCCUUUGAUUGAUUGAUAACAAAUUGUUAGCCUAGUAGAUACAGCCCCCCUCAUAAUAUGUCUACUAAGGGGAGUUAAUGUACCGAUAAUUGUCCACGUGUCAUAUUAAUCUUGUCAAAUUAAUUUUAAAAACUAUUGUCAAGAUAAUUAACGAGGUGAAAGUGACGUGCGAAUGGGUUCCGCACGUGCGGAAGACUCGCCGGCAAGCUCAGGACGGAGUCGUUGUCGUACGUGCGAACUCUACAAACACAGUAACACAACAUUUUUGCCAAGGCGAGCAUUCCACAGCACGUGUGCAUGCAUGUGAAGCGUGCCGUGACACAACUCCGUCCUGUAAGUUGGCCUCUGAGGACAGCACAGCACAGCACAGCGUGUUAAUUUGUUAAUAAUCUAUCAUUAAAACAAAAUACAAUCAAUCUGAUACAAACACAAUCAUCUAAACUUAUGGCAAAAUACAUCUAUUGCAAAUACAAAAAAUAAACUUAGGUAGUUUUUCAUAACUGUCCAGAUUCACAGUAUUUUCUCUCAUUAUUUGGCUACUUCAAACAUCAUAAAAACAAGUUUUCUCGGGAGGAAUUCCCUUUCUUGGACUCCCUAACGGCGAGUUCUUCCUCCUCCCGUAUUGAUCUGAAAAGAAAAAUAAGAAAAAAAGAAAAAACCUCACAUUGGGUUGGGUAAAAUAAGAGAUAUAGAUUUCGAUUAAUUAUGCCAAUACAAAUUAAAAACAAUAAAUUAAAGGAAUCUAAAGGCUCGUUGUUUUAAGAUGACGUGGGAAACAUAAUUUUAGAGAGAGAUUAUUUUCAUAACUCGAACCAUAAUUAUACUAUUAUACUAUAACUCUCUAAAAAUUAAAAGAAUAAUCACAUGCAAUCAUCACCUGCGCUUGCUUCUGUGGGCAUGGCUGGCUGAUGCCUUCACUCACACAAAUGUACACCAAGAUGAAAUGCUCCUCUGGAUAUCCAAAAGGAAGAACUAUCGGACAUGUCACAAUAUAUAUGUUACUAGAUAAGUCACUAUUGGUGUUGUCACAAUAUACAUGUGUGUGCCACUGUCCAAAUGAAAAUUGUAUGUGAUAUAAUUAUCAUAAUUUAUGUUCAUCUUCUUCCUAACUUGUGACCUUUGCACACUCAGAUGCACAUACAUUGCACUAUUUGACAGACCCCACAGCUACUUCCCUUGAGCAGUGAGACAAAACUAGAAUGCUACUUAUUUGGACGAAUGAUGAAUCAUUGAGAUGAUAAAAGGAAAAAAAAAAGAAACUAACCUUUUCUAUUUAUGUAUUGGUCUUAUUGGACCGAACAGAAGUCGCAAAAAAAAAAUUCUUUGUCAAACAUGAAGUAAGAUUAGUAAAAUUUGAUGGUAUAAUAGCAGAUAAAAUUUUUCGAACCGCACAAAAAAAAAAAUCUCACUGCUUUAUUAUGGGAAAUUCUCCCACAUAACCUCUAUAAAUAGGAAAAAUAUAUUAAUAAAAAAUAUAAUUUUUAUCUUCUAUCUUCUAUCAUGGUAUCUGAGUCAUUCUUGCCUUAGCAAUAUCUACUCUCCUUUAAGACUUAUCAUGAGCUUGGACGAUCGUAGCCCGUUCUCGUCGGAGCGAAGCAUGUCCAGGGCAUCAUGAAGCUGCAGGAAGCACUCGCCCUUGACCUCCGACGACAUUGAUUUGAAGUGUUUCUACGUUGUCCACUCAUUGCAGCCGAAUCUUUCUACAGCUGCAUCUUGCCGCCGAACUCCUAAUUUGCCACUGAACACAUAUGCUGCUCUUCGCAAUCCUCGGCAUUAUCCUCUCUUGCCAUGCAGACCACUUCGACAAUUAUUCGUUAUUAGAGUAUACCUUUGAUCCUGUUGGACGAGCCUCCCAUGAUACUGUUAGGAUCGGAGCGGCACUAAGAGGGGGGGUGAAUUAGUGCAGUAGAUUAAAACUCGUAAGUUUGAAAAUAAUUUCGUAAAUACGUAGAGAUUUCGAUUCGACAAAGAAUGACUUAGUAAAAGUAGCCUGAGUAAAGUAAGAAGAUGAAAGCCAAAAGCUUGCUGUUAUGUAAAUAAAGGUUUCAGAAAGGUAAAUACUCGCACAUUCAAGAAACACACCAAUUUAAAGUGGUUCGGUCAAAUGACCUAUAUCCACUUGCGAAGCCUUCUUCGAUGAGGCUCCAAACUUCCACUAGCAAAUCACUUUGAAGGGGAAGGACAAAUACCCCUCUUACAACCUUUUACAAGUGAUUCACACUCUUACAGAUUUUUCAAAGAGAAAGAGGGAGGUGAACACUUAAGCUAUUAGAAACAAGACUUUGCUAGACUUUUUCUCACUUUCUAACUUAUCAAAAAUGUUGUUUUCUCUACUGAGAAUUGAGGGGUAUUUAUAGGCUCCAAGAUGAUUCAAAUUUGGGCUCCAAAUUUGAAUUGCUUUUGGAUUUCCCGAUGCUGGUAGUGCCACCGCCUGUCAGUGUCUGACACUGACAGUGUACUGGCGGUGCUAUCGCUCAGUCCGACGGUGCCACCGCCGGACCUCUCGGGGUGCUGGGCGGUGCCACCGCCCAGUCCGACGGUACCAUCGCCUAGUCCUUCGGGUGCUGGGCGGUGCCACCACCCAGUCCAGCGGUUCCACUGCCCGACCUUACGGGUCACUAGUGGGCUUCAGAUCUGGCCCAAACCAAGUCAUAUUCGGGCCCAUUUGGCCCCUAACCAGGAUAUAGGAUUAUUUCUUAAUCCUAACCCUAAUUACAUGCAAAUUACGAAGUUAAGACAUAGUCCUAAGCAGAUCUUAUAACUGACAACGUCGAGUUUCCUUCCGACAAGCUUUCCGGCGAUCUUCCGACGGACUUCCGAUACACCCUCGGAUUUCUUCCGACGGACUCCUAGUAGGCUCCCGAUCUUGUGGCGAGUUCAGCAAGUAGUUGAGCCUUCAUGGUGAUCUUCGUGAACCUCUAACGAUCUCUUCGGUGGACUUCCGAAAACUCCGACAAGUCCCCGAUUUUCUCUCGGUUGGUUCCGGCAGCAUCUCCAACGAAUCUUCGGACUCUCGAACACCCAUCGAACUUGACUUUGGUAGACUUGCUUUAUGUCUUCAAGCUAUCAUAGUUAAUCCUGCAUAUGUAAAACAAAACUUUGAUCGAGACAAUUAAUCCUAAGCAAUUAAUCAAAUUGUCCGGCAUGUCAUUGGUCCCUCGACGUUUCGUCUGAUUCUUCGGUGCAUCGUCCUCUCUUGCGGCCUAUUGCCCAAUCGGCCAGUUGACUCCACAACUCCAAUAUCCUUGGUGCAAUACCCGCUCUUCUUGGCCUGAUGCUCGGAUCCACGGCCCGAAGCCUUCUGUCGAUAUGUCGACCGAUCCACCGGCCCGAUGUCCAAUCUUCUGACAUGUUCCUCCGGCAUAACAUGAUUUUCAUGCUAUAAUUGUCUCAUCCUGAUCAAAGCAUCCUAUGUCACUCAAAACGUAGAUUAAAAUAUAAACACAUAUUGAUUGGUUUCAUCAUCAAAAUCCGAUAUUCAACAGACACUGUCUAGUUCCUCUCCUCAAGAUCUACACUCUACAGCUACUCUAGUUCAUAAUUGCCCAUUUCCUCCAUUACUACUCCAUUCCCUUCUUCUCAAGUUUCCCUCGUUAAUGAGGUAAUAUAUUUAAAAACAUAACCAUUGUUUUUACCUCCUUCUAGACCUAGUGACACUGAAGCACCUCAGCCUGACCCGGCCCGUGUUAGUGACUCUCCACUGCCUAUACCAACCACACAACUUCACAAUCUCAUAGCCUCUAGACAUCCAAUGACAACAUGCUCCAAGAGUAGUAUUUUCAAACCAUGUCAAGUCCUUGAUCUACAUGCUAUUAUAGAAUCCUCAUCUAAGACCAUUGAACCCACCACGUUCAUUCAAGCCCAAAAAUCUCCACUGGCGUAAAGCCAUAUGUGAAGAAUAUGAUGCCCUCCUUCAUAAUUUAACAUUGAACCUUGUAUCCUUUCAUCACACACAAAACAUCAUCGGGUGUAAGUGGGUUUUUGGAAUUAAGCGGAACCCAAAUAGAUUAGUUACCAAAUAUAAAGCAUGUCUAGUUGCCAAAGGAUUUCAUCAAUGACCUGGUAUUGAUUUCACUAAGGCAUUUAGUUUCAUUAUUAAACUCACAACAAUCCAACUUAUCUUGAGUUUGGCCACCACUAGAGGCUAGCAAAUAUGACAAUUGGAUGCUAACAAUACCUUUUUUAUAAGGGACUCUAACUGAAGACGUCUUUAUGCAUAAACCUCUUGGUUUCAUCCAUCCUCAGUAUCCAAAGCAUGUUUGCAAACUAUAAAAAACUAUUUAUGGAUUUCAUUAAGCUUCAAGAGUCUAGUACACUGAACUUGGUUUGUUUUUCACUUCAAUUGGUUUUUUCAACUCUAAGUCUGAUACCUCGUUAUUUCUACGAUAACAACAUGAAAUCAUAAUAUAUCUUUUGGUAUACGUGGAUGAUAUUAUUGUCAUGGAUAAUAAUCCUACAGAGAUCCACACAUUCAUUAAGCAAUUGACAGAUUAAUUUUUUCUUGAAGAUCUAGGAAUCUUGAGCUACUUUUUGGGAGUGGAAGUAACAUAUAUAUCUUCAAGUCUCUUUUUUUUAUAAAGAAAAUAAAGUCAAGAUUUAUUAUCAAAGACAAACAUGUAAGAUGAAAAAGAUGUUACAACUCUCCUCUCUACUAGUGAAUCAAUUAAAUUAUGUGAUGAAAGUUCUACUAUGGAACCUACUCGAUACCGACAAGUAGUUAGCUCCUUACAGUACUUAGCUCUCACGCAUCUAGACAUCUUCUUUGCGGUCAAUAAAUUAUCAUAAUUUAUGCAGCGACCAUCUACUACGCACUGGUUUGUAGUCAAACGAAUCCUGCGAUAUCUUAAAGGAACCCUCAAUCAUGGUCUCUUUCUCCGUAAACACUCUCAACUUCAUCUCCAUGCAUUUGCCGAGAUGCUGAUUGGGCAAGGAACUUUGAUGAUAGAAUAUCCAAGUCAAGGUAUAUUGUCUUCCUUGGAGCUAAUCCAAUCAAUUAGAGUUCUAAGAAGCAAAAGACAAUCGCAUGGUCUACAAUUGAAGCUGAAUACCGUGCUAUCGCUACCGCUACCGUAGAAUUCAAUUUGAUCAUAAAUCUACUUAAGGAACUCCACUCUUAUUUCUAAAAGAUAUUAUGAUAAUGUCGGAGCUACUUACCUAUACGUCAAUCCAGUGUUCCACUCUCACAUGAAAUAUAUUGCUAUCGACUUCCACUUCGUGCGAGAUCAAGUUGUCUGAUAUCAACUACUUGUUUCUCAUAUACAUAUGAUUGAUCAACUAGCAAACUAACUCACGAAGCCUCUCGUCCGUAAACUAUUCUCAUUGCAUUGGUCCAAGAUCGACAUCCUUGACAGGAAUACUAUCUUGCGGGGGUAUGAUAGCAGAUAAGAUUUUCCCAACUGAAUGAGAAAAAUCUCCCCUCCCUAUUUAAAUAAGAAGAACAUAUCAAUGAAAAAUAUAACUUCUAUCUUCUAUCUUGUAUCUUCUAUCAUUUUAUAGGUUUUAAAACUAUCUCCCAAAUGAGCCUUUAAUAAUAAUUCAAUAAUUUAUGAUGUUUAAUGAAUAAAAUCCAUGAGGAGAAGUAGUAGAUCGAAACUAUGCCUUUUGAUUUGUAGGAAGAAGUAAUGUCAUAGAGUGGUAUGGAUCAUAAAUAAAUGAGAGAAUUUUAGACGCAUGUGUACACAUUAAUUAAUCACGUUAUAUUCCAUCCCACGAGGGAGAUAAAUAUCACCAAUCACCGAUAGUCUUUUGGCACUUAUUUUCUCUUUGAUUAAAAUGAGGUGACAUAUUUCAAUUCUUUAGUGAAGAUAAUAUAUAUGGACAAGAUUAGAACAACUAAUGUGCAUGUCGUGACUCUUUUAUAUUGUAAUUUUAUUGUGGUUCCAUAGUACCAAAGGAAGUCAAAGUAAAUGGCAAAACUAUUAUCUUCACUAAUAGUUUUAUAUUAUAAUUUUAUUGUGGUUCCAUAGUACCAAAGGAAGUCAAAGUAAAUAGCAUUUUAAAGUGUCAACAUUAUUAAUAUUUCUUUUAUUAUCAUUAAAAAAUUAUUUGACUUAAAUAUGUAAGUCCAUAUUUUGUCUCAAUAAUAAUAUAAAAGCCAUCAAUCUCACAAGUCAAUUAUAUGAUAAGAAAAUAAUAAUAUUUAGAAUUUGAUUAAAAUGAUUAGUCUUCUUAUGGAUCAGCCAUGCGGAAAAGUGAAAGUGACUCGAGAUGACAAGAGGGGAGCAAGGUAGAGCACCAGACUUUUGGAUGAGAAAUAGAUGACUCACAAACCUUCCUCGUGUAGCAAAAACUGAUGUUUGAUUUUUUUUAACAGCUAAGCUCGAUUUUGCUGAUAGCUAAGUUAGAUAAUAUUUGAGAUGAAUAAUAUGAGAUGAGAGAGUCCCAUUACUUAAGUCACAAAAAAAAUUCUUUCUAAUCAUCUUUGAACAAAUAAAAUAGCUAUUUUGACAUGACGAAUCACGAAUAAAAUAGCUAGACGUCAGAAUGAUAAAAAACUUAACUCUCCUUAUUUGACUUUUUUUAUAUUUAAAAAUAUGAAAGGUUCCAUCGAGAAAUAGAACUAAUCCUAACCCAAAGGGUUUCUAUAAAUCAACAAUUCGAAAUACUUUUCUUGCGUAUUCUCGAUGAACUAGCAUUUAUACAUAAAUCCCAUUACUCAAGUCAUAGAAAAAUUCUUCGGGUCAUCUUUGAACAGAUCUUGUACAACUAAUCACGAAUGAUCAAUUUUAUUCAUGUUAGAUAUUAAUUUUAAUUAAAGAUAAACUAAUAAUCAUGUUUUUAUUCUUGAAAAAGAAAAAAAGAGAAAAAUCCAACUUGCACUUUGUGGGUGGCUUUUUCUUGAAGUCAGAUAUAGUAUAGUCAAAUAUAGCCGACAGCGAGACGAUUGAUUCGAUUCAUCAGCCUGGUUCGGUUCAAUUUGAACCCGGUUUGGAGCCAAAGUUUCAGCGUUUCAAGCUUGGUCAAAUUUCAGCAGCGGGCAACCAAUAAUUAAUUUACGUAUUGAUUCCUCCCAAAUGAUUGAUUUUUAUAAUGGUUCAUCGCCCAUUUCAAAUCACCUUUAAUACAUUAUCUCAAAUGCCCUUUACAUAGUAUAAAAACGUUUUAGAACAAUUAAAACUUUAAUGUAUUUUCUAAUUUAAAAUACCUACUUCCAAUCAUGAUGAAUAGCGAUUAAUAUACAUACAUAUGGGAUUUCAGUAUUCUGAGGGAUAUAUAUAUAUAUAUAUAUAUAUAUAUAUAUAUAUAUAUAUAUAUAUAUAUAUAUAUAUAUAAAAACCAAUAUGCUAUUCUUAACCUUUAUAAGGAAUGAUAUGUGAAAAUAUUGAAAAACCGUCGGGUGCUCCUCUGAUCUCCACUCGCUCCUUCUUUAAGUCUUCUCGUUCGACGGCACCUCCUACUCCUCCUCCACUGCCUGCUUCCGCCGCGUGCAUCCACCCCAGCAUCGCAUACGGACGCCGGAAGCCUCCGCUAGCCAUAUCCCGUGGAUCCCUUGCAGAACCGAAUUGGUGUUGCCUGAUCCGUUCCUCCUCUUUGCGUUACUAGUUUCGGGAUCGUGGCGGGUCGGAAAAGUGGGUGCGGGAGUUCGCGGAGGAGCUUAGGUGAUAGAUUCGACUGGUCGAACUUUCGAAGGUGACUUCCGCAUCUGGGUUUCUUGUUCUGGUUCAAAGUCUCGUCCUUUUCGUCAUUUUUCCUGCCAAGAAACGUUGGGUUUUUGGGGCAAAGAUUGUUCUUUGUCAUCUCCGAGUUGUGUUCAGAUGGAUACAACAGAUCUGGAGUUUUUUUUUUCUCAUAUUGAUUUCAAUUUGUUUCCUUGUUGUCUGAACUCUGGUAAUUUUAUAUGACUGCUUUUGCCAAAAAGGUGAAGAAUUAGUUGCUUUUUUUGCAUAAGAGAGCAUUGAAUUAGAUUAUUGUGACAAUUCAGUAUUGUAGAUAUCUGUCUUGUUCAAGUAGUUGCUGAUCAAAGGUUUGGAGAAGUACUUGAUAGAGGUGUAUGGACAUUUUAUACGAUGAUGACGAUUAAGUUUUGCCUCGUUUUGUUGAUUGCUUGAAAAUCUAAACUUUUACCUGCUAUGUACUUUUCAAGUAACUCUUGGUAAUUUUUUAUUUGUUUAUGUUGACUUUUCUUUAAUGUAAUUAAUGUAGCCUUUUUCUAUAUUGGGAGAUCCAAGAGGAAGAGAAAAAAAGAAUGAACAGAAUAAUAAAGAAAGAAAGUGAGGGAGUUGAAGUCUUAGGUUUGGUUAACUGAGGGGUGCAAUGGAAGAGAUCAGCUGUCGUGUUGCCUUUUUUUAUUUUUAUACAAACUAUCCCUCAUUUAUGAAAAAAUUCAACCAAUAAAAUAAAAUGAAGAGGAGGGUCAAUUAAGUCUUGUGUCAGAUGCUUGCAGAUAAAAACAAAACCAAAAUAAGUAUCUUAGGAUUAGCAAGGAAAAAAGUUCAAGAAAAAGGAAUACACAAUAUCACAUAUUAAAAUCAUAAAAAGAAAAAAGUUCAAGAAAAGCAAGGAAAGAGAACUAUUUUUGUUUCUAAAAAUAUUUUUCAUUAAGUAGGGAUGAUCCUUUUGAUAAUUGAUCAACUAUAUCAAGGUAUAUUACCUACCAUAAUAUGGAAAAGCCCAUUUUCUUCGACAAAAGUAAUUGAGAACUUCAGAAUCAUCAAAUUGAUUGGAACCAUUUGAUUGAAUGAAUCUCUGCCCAAAUGAAGUGAAGAGAACUGGAAAGCGGAGAUAAAUUAUGAGUAAUCCCUUUUUUCUUCUUUAUGUAAAACUUUCUCUUCUCCAUCUCUCUUUAAAUUGGUCCUGGCCCCAAAUACAGAGCUCCCUUUUUUGUCUUCUCUAAUUGUUCUACACUUCUUUUGUCUCCUUUAGCAAGUUUCGGACAGAGUUGUAUGUGCAUGUAAUAAGUUAGAUCUCUAAUCCUAAGUAACUCAGAACCUAUCUUUUGGUUAAUAAGAAAAGAUGGUAACAAAUACUUGAGGUCAAAACAGUGAACUAACUAAGAUGGCAUGAGCAUUUGCAGUGAGAUUCAGUGAAGGUCUUUAAGACUAAUUUAGCUAGAUAACUUGUGCCAGAGGGAAACAUUUCUGUUCAUGUGGAUGAAAGUUGUGGAGAAAUCUUGGCAUUGCAUGUAGUGAAGAUAUAGCAUUGAUUGGGGAAGAUUUGGUAAAGCUGAUUGUUAGUCCGGAACAUGUUGAUGAAUAAGCUUGUUGGUAUCAAAAUUCAGUCAUCAUUUCUUUUGGUUCAGAGGAUCUUGUUUCUGGUAAGUGAAUAAAAGCAUAUGCGUAGCUGUUGCAUAUAGUUAAACUAAUUAUUGCUUCAAAGUGAGUGCACAUUUUCAACGAGAACUAUUCCAAGUGAGAUAUUCAAUAAGUACUGGCCUUUGAUGUGAUCAUGAAGUGCAAUUUUGCUUGAGCGUAUAGUCUGGUGAUGGUUGGUUGGAUCAUGUUAGAUUGUUUGCUUGGUGUCCUGGUUAUUGAUCUUGUUCAUUUGGAUAGGUGAGGUGCAGCUUCUUGAGGUAGCUAAAUGAGACUACUUUGAGCACACUGAGACUGCAAUACCAGUAUUUGAAUACCUAAAAUCAAGACAAGUCUCGACAAGUGAAUUAUAUUGUUUUUGUUGGAAGUUGAUGUUUUGACUUUUGAUUGUCACCACACUGGCAAGAUGCAAAAGCUUGAAUCAGUUAAUUGGUGUGUGACGAUCAAUCAAGCAAAACAUGCAAAAUUCUUCCUCACUCGUAUCUACUUUUGCAGGAAACUUUUCAUUCAUAUAAUCCAACAUUCAACAGACACAGGAAGAUCUAGUAGUUGGUUUUUCCAGGAUGACUUGUUUCUCUUGCAUGUUCAGAAGGAAAAGAACUUCAUGUCAGCAUCAUGAUCAACUCAAUGAAGGUAGACAUGGUGUUUGGUGGAUUAAAUGUGAUUUAACUUAAUGUUUAUUUGCCUUUUAUUGAAUAUUUGCCUCUUCUAUUGCAAAAUUCUACUCCACCUUUCGGUUAAGCUAUAUAUUUUAUCUAGAUAUUCCAGGAAUUGAAGGUGUAAAUAUCUACACUUACAAGGAAUUGAAAAUUGCCACUGAUGAUUUUAGCGCUGCUAAUAAAGUUGGAGAGGGAGGUUUUGGUUCUGUAUACAGGGUAACUUUUUUAUACUUUAAAGUGGAUUAAUGCUAUUAAUUUUAUAAACAAUCCUCACUAAAUCGGAUCAUUGAUGUAGGGAAUGCUUAAAGAUGGAACAGUUGUUGCUAUAAAGGUGCUAUCCUCUGAGUCGAAACAAGGAGUGGGGGAAUUUCUGACUGAAAUUAAAGUGAUCUCUGGUAUCAUCCAUGAAAAUCUUGUCAAGCUGUAUGGUUGCUGUGCUGAAGAACCUCACAGAAUACUUGUUUACAACUAUCUUGAGAAUAACAGCAUUUCACAGACCCUUCUUGGUAACAUAAUCCCUGUUUAUACUACAAAAUUUGAAUUUUGUGUACACUUGAGGGUGGUCAUAUCCCAUGUUGUUUUGAAUGCAUCAAGAUGUGCUGGUUCUUGUCAUCUUUCAGGUUCCAACCGUGGUAACAUUCAGUUCAACUGGAGGGCACGAGUCAAAAUUUGUAUUGGUGUUGCUCGUGGACUUGCAUUUCUCCACGAAGAGGUCCAUCCACAUGUGCUUCAUAGGGAUAUUAAAGCAAGCAAUAUUCUUCUUGACAAGGACCUCACACCCAAAAUUUCUGAUUUUGGUUUAGCUAAACUUCUGCCAUCAAAUGUGACUCAUGUCUCCACCCGUGUUGCUGGGACAUUGUGGGUCUUCUUGCCUCUUUUAACUUCACACGAUCUAAUUCUUAUCUGAAAAUACAAAUGCAAACUAUUUUUCAUGUGGUUUAUCACUGUUGAGUGCAAUUCAUGAUAUCCCAAAUCGAGAACUUGUAACUGGACUUUGACCCUGCAGCAUGGGAUCUACAAUAGUUGGCUACAUAACAAUAAAAGGCCUGUAACAACAAUGUCCAUGUCAUAUUGCUUGUGUACUUAUAUGUAUACAUUUUUUUCUUUUUCAAGUCUUAACUUUUGUCCUCUGCAGAGGUUAUUUGGCACCUGAGUAUGCAACUCGUGGACAAGUGACCAAGAAGUCUGAUGUUUACAGUUAUGGUGUUCUUCUGCUAGAAAUAGUUACUGGCAGAUGUAACACCAACACAAGGUUACCUUUUGAAGAUCGAUUUCUUCUCGAACGGGUAAGGAAAUUGUACAUUAAAUAUAAAUUAACUGAUGAUUAUAUGACAUAAAUUGUAAGUUUUUUUUAUUGUAUAUGUAACAUCAUUUGUUGCUGAAAGCCUGAAACAGUUUUUUUUCAUUGCAUCAAUUUUUUUGUCAUGGCCUAGCAUGCAGUGAGUUGCAAACAAGGUCGAAAACAUUUAAUAUACAUUGCACAUAAUUUUCAUGAAGAUAUUUCAAUCUUGGUGAUAAUCGUAGACUUCUACCUAGUUGUUUGAUUAAUUGUAUGAUAAAUUUAAGCAUCUCUGUAGAGUCUGCACAAAAUUAAGUUCAAACCUUAAAUUAACAAAGACGCUUAAUGUGUAAAAUUACUGUUCCCUUCCCCUCCAAUCCUCAAAUGGGUUUUGCUGUUGUUCAAUGCUAAAAUUGAUAGGUAAAAUCAACUGUAAAGAAGGCUGUUGACUUAAAUUCACACGUCAGGAGAAAAAGCUGUGCUCAGAAACAAAUAUAUUCCAAGUUCCUUUUUCUUUAUCUAAUGCUAUUAUGAAUAUUCAAGCAAUAAACAUUGAAUAGUGUUAACUUCAUGUGAGACUAAAAAUAAUCGAGAAACCAUGUUUCAUUUUAAAAGGAAAGAGUAAUGCAGAUGAUGUAGUGUAUAUGACUACUGUCAUCUUCAAUGGCAUGCCGGAGUUUCAUAAACUUAAGAAAACCAAAUUUCUCACCUCAAAUGGCAUCACAAAGUCAUAUUGUGAAAAUGAGUAUGAAUUGGAACCCACUGAUUGUAUGUUUCUAGUAGGUUGAAAUGUUCCACUAAAGAUUAAAAUACUUAAUCAACUUCUAUCUUGAUUUGUGGCCUUUAUGUUGGAACUUCAUAAACUUAAUAUAACCAACUUUCUCACCCCAAAUGUAUCACAAAGCCUAUCCUAAUGAGAGAUAUACGAGUUGGAAACCAUUGAUUUUUUGUCUAUAGUAGGUUGAGAUGUUCUGUUGAAGAUUAAAAUACUUCAUCAACUUCAUCUUGAUUUAUGACCUUACCAGAUAGCAUCUCUUGAAUUCACAGUACUUUCUCAUACUUUCUGUUUUUGGUCUGUUCUCUAAAAUGAUUGGAGUUUCAGGUCAAUUUGACAUUUACAAUUUUGGAUGUUACAUCCAGAUUUAAUCCCAUUUUGUUUCUUGUUUUCUAUUUUUAAAAAUUUCCAUAUUGCUGCUUACAAUCUUUUCAAGGGUAGCUUGUCUAAUUAAUGUUGUAAGGUUUUGUGAUAUAAAAGUAUAUUGUCAUCCUUGUUCAAUUAGUUUGACAUUGGCAGAUAGUUCUUUCUUUUACAUUUGAGACACGUCUGGUAUGCCAAAAGACAAUAGUUAAGGGCCAUUAAUUUAGAUAUGGUAGAUUGCCUUCUCUUUCUGUAUAUUUUCCUAUGCAUUUUUUAGUGAGCUUAAUGAUUCUUACAUGCUUUCCCUUUAUCGUGUGUGCAUAUAAAUCCAGACAUUCAAAUUUCAACAAUUUGCCUUUUGAAAGAUAGAAUUGCUCUAGUUAGUUGGAUGGGGCAUGCUGAAGGAUUUGAUAAGUUGAUUUUGAAGAAUAUGUACUGGCUGCCCGGAAUAAAAUUCAAUAUUUUGUUGUAAAAGCUGACAAUGAAUUAUGAUCUGGAUCGAAGUUUCAGCUGGGGAAAAUGUAGAAUUUAAAAAAUACCUGCUCCAUAGACAAGUAGUUGUACUCACCAAAUAAAAAAUUCCAAUCUACUCAUCUGUAUUUCAUCAAGGCACAAAAAGAUAGGAGCGAGGUGUUUGUGUUUAAUGGACUUGUAGUGAUGGCCAUUCUGAGUCUCUGACUAACAGCUAAAUUUGGAUAAAUCUGAAUGAUAUAUACAAUAUGGGAACAUCUGUGAUUAUAAGUUUAGUUUGAAGUUACAGUUAACUUUUGCCUGGAAUCCAGAAGCUGAUUGGAUGGUACUGACGGUGUGAAAGGGAAGUUCAAUGCUUUGUUUUCUUUCUUUAGUUUUAUAAUGAUUCAAUCAUGUAUCUAGGCUUGAGAAAGAAAUCUGCUUUCUUAAACAUAGUAUGGAGAAAAUAAUGGAACUAACAUCAACUCUGUUCCGAGAUGUGUUUUAAUUUACUGCUAUCAGUUAUUCAUUACACAUGCUAAAAUGAUUUUGCAUCUUCAUUAUAAAUGAGCUGUUGUAAGUAUUUUGUUGAUAUACAUAAGUUUAGAAGAUAAUUUAUAACAAACCAUCAUAAAGAGUUAAUUCAUACAUGCCAUUUUGUGGCUGUUUUACAUCUGGCAACAUGCUUGACAGCUGCACGGUCCCCGGUAUUACUAAUGGAUUUCUCUUCUUGCAGACAUGGGCAAUAUAUGAACAUGGUGAUCUGAAACAUAUCAUAGACAGCUCUUUGACAGAUGACUUGGAUGCUGAAGAGGCAUGUAGGUUCUUGAAGGUUGGACUUCUAUGCACACAAGAUGCUAUGAAGCUUCGGCCCUCAAUGUCCACUGUCAUCAUGAUGCUGACUGGCGAAAAGGAUGUGGACUUGGAAAAGAUUACGAAGCCUGGUAUCAUUAGUAAUUUUAUGGAUCUUAAAGUUGGUAGCAAGAAAAAGGCCGAUCAAACAAAUAGAUCUUUAAUCAUUUCAUCCAUUCUGGAAAAUUCACCCUUGUCAUCAGAGAACACUACAUCUGCAUCUAUGACCUUCACAGCAAUAUCUGAGUGAGACUGAAAAAUCAGUGGAUAUAUAAGUUAACGGAGUUUUGAGGUACAUAAUCAUGUAGAAUAUUGUAAUUCCUUUUCUCGAAAGAAAAUAUGCGUGUUUUUCUAUUUGCAUCUUAUAGAUUCUAGUUUAUUGUAUAUAUCCGUAUCAAUUUUGGUCAAAAGAGAACUUUGUUUAUGCAUUUGUUUGAUUGAUUUUCUUGGCUAACUGAAUGUUUUUCUUUGUUUAAUUAUAAUUUGAUGAGAAUGUUGAAGUGACACAUGAUAUGGUCCAAAUUUUAUAUCUUCCAAGAGAGCCAACUGGACUUGCAUUCAAUAAAAAAAUUCCUGAUUACAUAUUUCCAAGUAGAGAAUUCAAAAUCGGAUAUCAAGAAUUACCUGUAUUUAUGUGUGGUUCAUCAUCUAGAAAUACUUUUUUGUAUGUAUAUCAUACUUUCAUCUGCUUCUGAGUGAAUAACAAAACCAAGGGUUGCGGAGGAUGGUCUUUGUACAUCUUCAUUGCAUGCUUUUGUCACUGAAAUCUCACAUUGUAUUAUCUUCUAAAACUUGGUAUCUUGGGAGGAGAGAGAGAGGAUCAGACACAAAACUCCAUUCCUCUUCAAUUAAUCAUUUUUCAACCUAUAGAAGAAGGUGUCAUGAUUCCCCGUUUCUUUUUUUUCUUAUGAUUCUUCUGCUAGUUACCUUUACACUUAAUGACGUAUCUGACUCCUCUCUGUGCCCAGAGAAACAGGGAAUCAAGAUUAGAUCUAUCACAUGAAGGUGAACAAUGUCCUUUUAAUUAAUUUGUCAUUGUUGGUUUGUUAUUCUGUCUACAUUCUGUGAGUUCACUGUGUCACUGUUGAUAGUUCAAUGAUGCCUUUCUCUGGACCACAUCAACUAUUUCUUAAGCUUUUGACUUGAAAUCUGGAUUAUCUUCUACUGAUUUACUGUUGCUUCUUAUUCUACACAAAAGAACCUUAUCUUGCCUGAUUCGAUUGUUGGUGAAGUAUUGAACUUUUGGAUCUAGAAAAUGUUUCAGAAGGUAUCUCUGAAGUAGAUGGUGAUUGAUAGAGCAAUUCUUUUAUAGGUGUUAUUUGAAAGUUAUUUACUAUAUAUCAAAGUCAAAUGCUCUAAUGCCUUAUGCUUGAGAAGUAUUAUUUACUUUCUUUCUCGUCUCUAAUUAUUAAUAGCUCAAUGAUGCUUUUCUCUGGACCACAUCAACAUUCUCUUGAGGUUUUGACUUGAAAUUUGGAUUGUCUACUACUGGUUUAUAAUUGCUUCUUAUUCUGCAUAAGAGAACCUUAUCCUGCCUAAGUCACUAAUUGGUGGGGAAAUACUGCAACCUUUGGAUUUAGAAAAUGUAUAAAGUAGAUGAUGAUUGGAAGACAAUUCCUAUCCUCAUAAUUAUGGGUGUCGUUGGAAAGUCAUACUGCAAGAAUGCUCCAUGUUAACCCAAAAAACUGUGGAGCAAAGCUCUACAAUGCUUUGUGCUUGAGAAGGAUAUUACAUGAGCAUGAACAACCCUUCAGUGAUGCUUGCAUCUUUCUUCUCUCUUCCCUCAUCCAUUUUUCCUCUUCUGAGUUUUUGAGGUUAAGGUGGUUCUGUGCAUCAUGGUGUACAGCUGAUUAGCUUCUCCAAGACCCCUGUCCUAGUUCUAUACCAAAAGGUACUUUUUGCUGUUGUCCUUUGGCCACCCUGGGCAUUGUAGGUAGGUGCCUUUCUCUCAAAAUGCCCAAUUGGCCUGUUGAUCAGAAGGCUGGCUUUCUUUACUUUUAUCAAGUCCUUUGGGGUUUAUGCCCACCCAAUUAACAUGACUUGUGUUGGAUCUAUGUGCUUUGGCCAGAAACCAAGCCAGGUUGGUUCUCUCUCUUCUGAGGCUGGCAUUUUGGGCAGGACAUGGUCAGUUUGGUUCCAUUGCUCUCAGUGUGCCAGUAGUUCUUGAAGCUCCAUUAUUUGUCAAGACCAUACUCUCUGCUUUGCUCAUUAUCUACAGAAUUGGGACUUGGAAGUGGCUCAGUGGUCCAUUAGAUUCAGGUGGUCCUGAAAGCUAAGGCUGCAUCCAGACCAGGAGGAGGCAUGAGCAGGUAAUUCCUUGACUGAGAGAAAAGUUACAUGCAGAAAAGUGUUCCUAGUGGCCAAAUAAACACUUUUAUCUAUCUCUCUCUCUCUCUUUCUCUCUCUCUCUCUAAGAGAUUUUUGUGAAGCAUAACAGCAUUUCGGUAAGAGUGGCAUAUGACUUCUAAUAGUCAUCUUUUAUUCAGAGGUAGUUCCUUGACUAAGAGAGAAGUUACAUGCAGAAAAGAGUCCCUAAUGCACAACAGUCAUUGUUAUGGAGAUCUCUUUGUUCCUCUCUCUAAGAGAGUUUGUGAAGCAUAACAACAUUUCACUGACUGGCACAUGACUUCCAAGCAGUCAUCUGACUCCAUGACUAUUUGAAAGGUAGUUCCUUAACUGAGAUGAAAGUUACAGACAAAUAUUUUCCUAGUGAAUAAAUGAACAAUCAAUGUUAUGAAAUUAUCUUUGUUUCUCUUUUUAUGAGACUCUGAAGCAUAACAGCAUUUCACUGAGCGUGACACAUGACUUCCAAAUAGUCAUCUGACACCAUGACUAUUUCAAUGGUAGUUCCUUAACUCUGAGAAAAUUUUACAGGCAGAAGAGAAUUCCUAGUCAACAAGUAAUCAAUCAAUGUUAUCAAAUUCUCUUUGUUUCUCUCUCUAAGAGGCUUUGUGAAGCAUAACAGAUUUCGCUGACAGUGACAUGUCACUUCCAAAUAGUCAUCAAUGUUGGAGACACCAUGGCUAUUUCAAAGGUAGUUUUUAACUGAGAGAAAAGUAGUAAGCAAUCAAUGUUAUGCAGAUCUGUCUUUCUCUCUCUCUCUAAGAGACUUUGUGGAGCAUACCAGCAUUACAAUGAGAGUGGAAACAGUUCCAAAUAGUUAUGUUGUUUGAGACACCAUGGCUAUUUCAAUCCAGCUUUCACCUGUGUCAUUCACAUGUGUUCUUGGGACUGUUUCCUGUCAGAUAAAUCACACUUUUAUUGAGCUAAUAGUUUACUCCUUUCUGACAAAUGUUAAGGAUAAAGAAAAGUGAUACAGAAACAGCUUUCUUUCUGAUAAAAAAAAAAAUCAGCCACUUCAACCAUCUCUGAUGCCAAUCCAAAGAGAAAAGACAGCUCUAAUUAGCUGCUACUCCAACCAAAUCUUUCUAUGGGCUGCUGCAAUUAUUGUUAAAGGGCUUUGGACUCUCGAGUGAUGAAGAUUUUUAUUGUACAAUAUUUAUAUGGCUUGAUAUUUUGAUCUUAUAUUCUGCACGGGAAAAAACAUAUCAAACUCUCUACUAUAUGUGAAUAUAUUAUAAAAAGUAACACUCUCAUAUUAGUAAUUAAAUUUAACUGAGGUUCCAAAUGAUAAAGAUUAUCUUCCUAAUAAUACAUUUUACGUUUCAGGGGGGACAAUCAAACACUUAUCGUGUGAGAAUAAAUUAUAAAGAAUAAAACUUUUCUUCUAGUAGUCAAACAUACUCGAAAAUCUCUUGUACACAUCUCAUCGUCGGCUUAGUCAACUGUACAUAUAACGCAUUAACCACCAGAAUGUCUCUGUCUGUUUGCGAGUAAACUUACAACAGUUUUGAGGCAAAACACAAGUUGAUGCACCCUUUUAACCUGUUCAUGUGAUGUUGCAGGAACAAGUUCGCAGCAUGUUGGGGGAGGAGGAACCUUUUGGGCCUCGGCAAUUGCAGCAUGUGUUCUGCCUGCAGCAGUGUUUGGUGGUGGACAUGUCGCUGCGGACUGUUCACGGCAGGGGGAUCAGCUGCUGCUGCUGCUCCUCCUCCUCCUCCUCCUCCUCCUCCUUCCGCUGGAGAGCGACAUGGACAGGCUCCAUCCGUCAUCUCCUCCAUGUUCAUCAGGGAAAAACGAGGAGAGGUGGGAAGAAAGAAGAGUUGAAUGCCAUGCAUGAACGCAUGCACAAAACAAGGAUCACAAGGUAUCCACAAAAAGCAAAAAGAUACUACUGUUCAUUGAAGAGGGAGACAGGCUAUUUUUCUGCAGUCAAACAUGAGAUCUAAUGCUCCGAGUUGGUGGAUUGGUUGAGGUGGUGCUGUUGGGGGACCUAUCAUGUCCUCCCAGAGAGGAAGCUUCCCCCAAAUUCUUCAUUCCACAAGUUCCAAGUCAAAUUGAUUUGGAUUAAGACGGUUUGGUCAAAGGUCAAACUCAAUCAAUCGUAAUUUCUAUAUCAAUAUAUUUCUAAUGUCUCUAACUCAAUCUGUAGUUUUUCUACCCAAACUCUUAUCCGCCAACUUUGGAUCUGAUGCUAUAUUGAAAAUUUUAAUUGAUAGGGUUGACAGUAUAAUUUAAUUCAAAAUUUUAUACUUCAUCUCUUGCAUGAAUAUCGUUUUUAGAAUAUGGUGAAUGAGUCGCUUGUCUACGUUAGGAGAAUGUUUGGAGUGAUAACGGUGACGCACAGGAGAUCGUCCUCCUUUCCUAUAUGGUACGUGACCAUCACUUACUUGUUCUCGAAUGCAUGAACCUUAGAAUAAGUGUAUGACAUUGGAUGGACGAAGAAAGAUUGUAUUGAGUGAGAGCAUAUCAUCCUUCAAGUGCUCUGAAGGUUACAUUAUGUGUGAAAGACUUCCCUUCCGCAAGGCGGAUGUACGAUGUUGCUAUACAUGUGCAUGUCGACGUCCUUACAAGACCUCCAACCUUCACACUGUGGAGUUGCACUUGCAAGUACUCAAGCACAAAAACCUAAGACAAUUUUACCCUCGGAUUGCUACUCCGACAAGGCCCCAAUAAUGUUCACGGAGGACAACGUGAGUUGAUCGUUUCCAUGCAAGUUGAUUUCGCCAUGUCUAAUCCACUCUUUCUUUUUCAACAUGAGAUGCUUCUGAUGAUAAGAACACCAAGAUCAGUAAACAUAAUAAGAUGGGUGUUUUGAAGGGCUGCUGCUGCUUCUUUCCCUAGCUCCGAGAAGUCCAUCUUGGAUGGAUGGCACACAAAGCUGUCUCAGUUCCUUGGAAGGCUGGAAAGCUGGCAGGAGUCUGAGGCCAAAACACUUGGGCUCUUCUUGCUUGCACUAUCACCAACAAAAAGCGAGGCAGAAAGUGUGGUGUCAUGCACUAGCCAGCCAGCCAGCCAGCCAGCCAAAAAAUUAUUUGACCUACUGGUGGUGGGGGGUCCUCAGCACCACCUCACAUUCUGGUGGCCACAGCCCAGUGGUGAGAGUGGGGUCCUGUCAUUGCCCUCACCAUGCAGAAUAAUGAGAGAGAAGGAAAAGGGAACAGUUGGAGCUUCUUUUGAGGAAAGAGAAGUACAGUAGACCACUCAAGGCACCUGGAGGCAGUUUCAGCAUUGUACAUCAAGGAUGGAUUUGAUGUGUUGAGGCUUUCAUCUCAGAUACUACUCUCAUCACUUGCACAGAGAGAGAGAGAGAGAGAGAGAGAGAGAGAGAGAGAGAAUGUGCAAAGAUAGAUAUGUUUAAUCCAACAAGUUAGAUCCUUGAGGCAUCAAGAACAUGAACCUGAGUAGAAGAAGAUGCCAUUAAACUUGGCCAGGACCCUGCUAGAGUUGGGUAGCAGAUGAAAUGUAGCAGUACGGCUGCUUCAUGCCAACAUGUGGGAUUACCAUGAGAAGAACAAACCUGUUGCUUCAGAUCUUUUUUCUCUUCAUACAUGGUAUUACGGUUCUUCUCUGUCAGAGAUCAGAUCUCAUUGCGAUGAGCUGCAUGAGGGAGAAAGAGCUCAAAACCGAAAACAUUCAGUACACUAAUCAACAUCCACAACAUAAAAUGUCAACCAUUUAUGUACCAGAAACAAAGUAAGUCAAGAUGCAUAUGGAUGGCUGCAUAAAACUUGCUCCUAGAGAGAGAGAGAGAGAGAUCACAGCUAUAUUUCUUGUGGCAACUGUGUAUGUAUGCUAUUUGUAAUCUUUCAACCCAAAAGAGCAUAAAAGGCAGAGCUCGUCAUCAUAUAUCUUGUUCAUGAUCAUGUGAGAGCAGUUGAUGCUCACAUGUUAUAUAAGAAAAUGAAUAGAAAUCAAUACUAUUAAAGCAAUAUAUCUUUAUUUGAGAUUCAAUAUGGAAGAGAGAGAGAGAGAGAGAGAGAGAGAGAGAAGCCCCAUCCAAAUAUUUCUCAGGGAUCUGACACAUCUGAACCCUAGAGAAUCUCAGCAGAGAGAAUGAGACUUACAUUGGAAACUAUUAUAAGCAUAUACAACCACACUGGGAGCAAAGGAAUUAAAAGGAAUAGAGAGAGGAAGGAAAUGCUGAUCCAACUUGACAAACUACCAAAAGUGUCUCUCUCAUUUACUCACAUUUCUAACGUUUACUCGAUCCAUAUCAAAAGAUGAAAGAAUCAUAAAAUCUCUACAAAAAUAACAAGCUAUCCUGUCACACACAUUGAAUAGGAAAAGAUACAAUAGAAUUCUCACUGGCAUACUUGACAUACAGAAUGGAUAUAUGCACGCCAUGCAAAAAGAUGUCUUCCAUUUAUUUGUAUCUAUGAUUUGUGGUGAAGCAGUAAAAUACCACCGAGAAGCAAAGAAAGGAUCUUUGCAUAGAAUAAGAACACUUACCUUACAUCUUCCCUCUAAGAAAUGACAAACAAUCACGGUUCUCUGAAACCUUCAAUCCUGUCUCUGACCAGCGCUUGAGUUCUGCAAAGGAAUGUAACCCAUCACCGACAACCGAACCUUAGAUUUGAGAUCAUAUGCUUCUUAUAUCCAAAUCUGAGCGCCAUAUGAAAUGACUGCAAGAUCAGAGAGAGAGAGAGAGAGAGAGAGAGAGAGGCAUGCUUGGCUCCUUGCACGCCACCCACAAUAGAGCCAAUCACCCCAUGAAUUGGUCUAUAUGUGUGGCAUACAGGGAGCCAGGCAUAACCCAUUUCACCUGCGCUCUUCCUCUACAUGGCAGAAACAAACCUAAACCUAUACUCACUCAUUCAAUGGGAGUAAAGGAGUGCAAAGGCCAUUUCUCUUCCCACUAUAACCAUCAGGCCGUGACUACAAAGCUGUUCCCCAUGGAGAAAUGGAUAGACAACAUGAUCUGAAACCCUACACCGCCUAAUAUUUGUAGAGAGAGAGAGAGAGAGAGAGAGAGGUAAAGAGAAACAGGAGGAAGGGAUGAGGGGGCCAAAGGUAGAGGAAGAGAGGAUUUAUAGCCCUCAUGGCGGAGAGGAUUUCCUCACUAAAAUGUAAACAUGCAUUUAAAUAUUACCAAAAAACUCAUCCACUUUUUUUAUGGUUCAAACUCACCACCCACCCAGGAAAAUCUCAUCCCACCUCCCCAAACUUAGCAAACCCUAACACAGGCUUUACUGAUCUCUCUCUUUCUCUACCUGGCCGUGGGACUGGGUUUGGACAGGGAUGGAGGGGGAGAAAGAAUGAAAGAGAAGCAACUGUUCCCAGCUUGCAGGACCUGAGAGCAUACAAUUAAAGCCGGCUGGUCUUCCUCACUCCCUUCUAAUGGAUAUUUCUAUUUCUUUUACUCUUCUGAACUGGGUUUUGUCUGGAGCACUUGGAUUAACAUCAGAUUCUUGCAGCCAACUCACUGUACCAAUCAGAAGCAUUAAAAUAUUUUUUUUCUUCAUACAUUAUACACGUUUAAUACAUUUUCUUGCCCAUAUAUUUCUUUCCUGCAGUGCCAUUCUUCUGCACAAGUUCCCCAAGGCUUUCAUUAAAUAGCCAAGAAUGGCAAGACAAUUAUGCAGACCAUAAGCUUUCUGGUGCGGUUAGAAAUGUGGGUUGGGAUGUACUUUUAUUGGUGAUACAACUUUGUUUCUUGCUAAUGAAGUAAUGAUCAUCAAAUUAUGAUGUCCUCUUAAAGGAAAAGAGAAAUACUGCAUUUUGAUUGUCAGAUUUCCUCGUUAUCUUUGCUUUGUGUUAUUAACUAGUCUCUAAUAAUCUUAGAAGCCUGCCAACAUUAAUAUGUCAUACUUCACCCUAUAGAGUGAAGCUCUCCUUGAUGCAUAAACCUCAUCCUUUAGAUUGAGGUCAGUCUCAGUGCAAAAACGUUUGGAUCAUGAGCUUUGAUCAUUCUUGUUAUUUGGAUUCUUCCAUUUUUGUUCUCCAUCAUACAUUGUAUAUGAACAGGAAUAUCUGAUUCAAUUGAGAUCGAUGUUUGGCUGGCAUUUUUUAUUGUUAAGCUUUUGAAUGGAAUGAGCGUAAGUUCUUGUGAUUGCUGCACGAAACAAAUGAAACGAUUAAGAAGAGGAAAAAAAAUGACAUCAAUUGAUUGAUAUCACCUCUUAUUAAGUUGUAGAGGAUCUUGUCCUGAGAUGGGAAGAUAUUGCUGUCCAAAUCACAGUGUAGCUCAUUGUUCUGCAAUCUAAUAUAUGAUGUAAUAAGAAUUAGCAAGAGAUAUUACAUAUUGAUGCAUUCAGCUUAAGCUUUUGGAUUGUGUUGAUGUCCAACUAAUGUAUCGUUGUCAUUGUCAUUUCACAUGCAUUCCCUUGAAAUAAAGAUCUACCCACCAAAAUGUAACUACACUUGAGCCUUUGUUUGUUUGUAUCACUUAGAAUGCUAUGUAAUGCAACGAUAUGGAAAAAAAUUAUUUUACAUUUGUUUUAGUUUUGCAUCAUCAUUUAUGCAUCUUAUAUUGGAAAAUUUUCACAAUCAUCGAGCAUAUUUAUUAAAUAUAGUAUUAGGCAUACUCUAAUUGUUUGAGAUGAGUGUAGAAAUCCUUCGCAAGAAUGAGCAUAUAUUAGAUUUAUUUUAAAUUUGCAACAACUAUUUAUAUUCUCUAUAUUAUAAAUUUUUUAUUGUUAGAAUUUUAAUGAUACUAAAAGAAAAGGGUGAAUUAAUGUAAUAGCAUUUUUAAUCGAUUUUAAAACUAGAUAAAAAAAAUUGAUUGUGAGUAAAACGAAUAAGACUAAGUCAUAAGUAAAGAAAGGCAAAUCAAUUUAUAGUGAUUCCUUUUCCCUUGAGACUAUCAACUUUUAUUAUCGAUCUUCUUUUUAAUAGGCGAAGAUUAACUAUCCUUCUUACAACUUUCUCUUUUUUUUAACUUAAGAUAAUCUUCGUACUCUCUUUUUACACAAGAGAUUUCCCACCUUCUAUAACUUAAAAUUUUAACUAAACUUAAGUGGAGGAAAAGACUUAAACUAUACUCAAAAUAAAAGCUCACAAUACUUUAUUAACUUAGGAAUGGAUUCUCCAUCAACCAAAUGAGGGAAGUAUUUAUAGACCCUAAAAAGCUUCUAAAAUGAAGCUAAAAAUUUAAAUUUGUGAAAUUUUCGGAUACAAGCAACACUAUCAUCGACUCUGAGUGGUACUAUUAUUAUACUUUUUGACAUAGUUAUAAUACCAAAUUCUAAUAGUACCACUACUAUAAUUUUUGAAUUUUGGAUGGCACUAACAUUACCCUAAGCGAUACCAUCAUGGAAAAAGCUGACAAAGCACAAAUAAUAUUUUUUAGUUGACUCAAGUGGUAGAAUGAUCUAUGUUUAAUAGUACCACCAUCCAAGCCGGUUCAGGUCACUAAUUUGUCAUUCUAAUGGGCCCAAUUUGAAUUGGCUUCAAGCCCAAUAACUUUUAUGACAAGUGGACUUUAUUUCAUCUCAAUACUAACUUAAAUUGAUUGUAAAUAACCUCGAUUAUUACCUUGAUAACUCUACUACAAUCCAACAUAUUUACAAAUCUUUCGACGCAUUGUAUGUGCUUUCGACAUGUCAUCCGAUCUUUCAGUACUUCAUCCAAAGUUAUAGCACAUCAUCCUUUCCUUUGGUAUAUCGUCUAUUCCACUAACAUAUCAACUUUUUCAUGAUAUCUAAUCUUCUAAUAAAAUAUUCGAUCCUUCUAGCAUGAUGUUGAAACCUUUAGCACAAAGUUCGAUCUCUAGUAUAUCGAUCAAUCCUCUAGCUCGACGUCUAAUUUUUGACACAAUAAUUUUUUAAUACAAUAUUCAACUCUCUUACUCAAUAGUUGGCGUUUCAGUAGUUUGAUUCUUUGAGUGAAGUAUUUUUCUAUGUUGCUUAUCUCAAAAAUGUCUCAUAAACUCAUCAAUUGAUUUCAUUAUCAAAAUUAAAGAUUUAACAAUCUCUCACUUUUUUAUGAUAACGAUCAAUUGAUGAUGGAGUCUUAACCAGACUCUCUCUAUCUAUAUACCACCUUAAAAGUAUAAUAAACUUAAAUUCAAAAUAAUUACCUUUCAUGUUAGUCUUGAAUUCAAGUUAAAAUAAUUUGAUCAUAAAUUCUAGUAUUUUUAAUAAUAAUUAUUACAAGAAUUAGAUGCAUAAUUUUAAUUACAAAGCAUCAAAGGGCAUUAUCAUAAGUUAAAAAAUAUCAUAAGUUUUCUUAUUAACAUGAAAAGGUAAAGACAUACAUAAUUUCAAUUUCAUCAAACGGAAAAGAUAGGCAUAGUUACUACUCUCUCUUUAUCAUCAACAAGAAGGAGGAAUAUACAAUCUAUUCAGGUGGUGACAAUCUAAAAUGUUCAAAUAAAAUAUGAAAGUAUGCAUUAAGAGCAUAAAUACACUAAUAAAUAUGCUGCAUCUUAGUUAAAAUGUGGUCCUAAUGAAACUAAAGAUAAUCCAAUCAAGCUGCUAUGGAAUCAAAAAAUGAAGAAGGUGUUAGACCUGCUUGGGUCUCGCUUCAAAGGGAUUAGUAAGAGGAAAAUAACUACCCUAAUAUAUAGGUGCAUUUGGGACAAGCUUAGGUGGAGGAGGAUUAGUCCUCGUAAGUAAUCUAGUCUAUAUUUUAUUAAUUACAAUGCACCUUAAUUUUCUU
rnacentral:lncRNA from 1 species